rnacentral:lncRNA from 1 species
UGGAGAUGACUUAAUUGGGUCAGGCAUGUCGACACUAAAACUCAGUCACUUUUGACGACGUUCCAAAUUAAAGGAACAUGGAAACGUACGAAGAAGAAAUUCCAAAUUAACAUGAAUCUUUAUAUUUUCUUUAAGGCAUUUGGGACUGAUACUCGGAACUCCGUCUGGUCGAUCGUAGUAUCAAAUUAGAAGCUUGGGAUGAUAUAGCACAAUUGGAACAGCUGCCAAAGUGAUGCAAAAUAUGAGGGAUGCAGCAGGUACACACAUCCAACGUAUCCCAUUUAUUUUAAAUCAUGAAACAUAUACAAGUACAGAACACCACCGGCCCUUCUCUUUCUCCUGACACAAUAAAUUGUACAUAGUUCAUACAAUACAUGGCACGGAACAAUACUUAAUUAACACACAAAUGAGAAAGCAGCAUCCAUGUUUCAACAUUUGGCUGAAGCGUACGGGGCAUCCUGGAAUGACCUAGCUUCAAUAUUUAUGAGAGGAGCAGCAAUAUCAGGAUUUAGGUUUUACUUGUAGCAAACUCUGUCCUGACAGCUGCAACCGAUGGCAGCAGUAACGCACGGUAUCAAGAAACAACUUUCCCCACACGGGAUACCACCCUGCGAAGCAAAUUCCCUUGCAAUCCUGUUUAAGCUCAGGACGGGGGUGCUAUCCUGCACCGAGCGGGCCAUGGCCAUCGGAGCUGCCAUGAGCUGCAGAACCACCAUCAUGGCCACCAAUACCACGACACCGGUAGCCCUCUUGCCACUCUCCAUGCCCACCCUCUCUGUGUGACUAUUUGUGCUCUGAUGGCUUUCUGUUGCUUGGUUUGCUCGGCUCCCAAGGAUGUUUCUCCUUUUUGUAGGCAGCAGCUUCUGACGACAAACACAUCUAAACAAGCCUGUCACUUUCCCAUGCGUCGCGUGAGUUGGCAUUAUGAGGACAUUACUUCAAAAAUUGCUUUCAAUAAGAUUUUGGGUGUAACUUGCUUUAUUGCUACAGCUACAAGUAGUGACCUGUCACACCUGGUUUUAAAAUAAAAUCAAGUGGUACCUAUAUGUAUGCUAGGAUCAAGUUCAUACAUAUAGUGACAUCAUCAGUGAAUAAUAGUAACCGUAUCACGUAAAAGAAUAAGAGAGCAUAUCAAAGAUUUACGCUUAAUCCUAUAAACGAAGGCUCCAAACUUCACAGGCAAUCGACUGGGAGUUGUGUACGUCUAGAACUCAGCACCAUCUUCACAACAACUUCAUAGCAGCUUCUUCUUCUGAGUAACGUUGGUUAUAGCAAGGGUGAGCACAUGUCGUACUCAACAAGUGUGGUGGAAAUAUUAAUGCAAGGCUUAAACAAGGAUAGGCUGACUGGUUGACAGCAUUAAGCAUAUGGCACAACCAUAACCAUGGCUUAAGUCCAUCUUCAAGUAUAUUAAUCAUGUGAGGGUUCAUGCCGCUCUUGACCGUGAGCACGGCUAAUCAAUUAGUUUUACACUCUGUAGAGGUUGCACAUCUUUACGCACAAGUCGCGUAAAAGCUCAAAAGAACUUUAAACCCAACUAUGUUGUGCGGGCUAGGUACAAUACCACACUUCCGAGGUGUGAUUGCAUAGGGACCCUACGAGGCCUCUACAAAGAUUCGCUAUGGUUUAUGCUUCGUAGCUAGAGAAAUUUAUGAUUUUUUAGAAUGAGGAGAAAUGAGAGUUUUUUAUUUGUACAUGCAUGGAGAAUGGAGAUUUUUUACCUAUUAGGUUAGAUGAAAAUUAGAGUUCAAAUAAAUAUAAUUUUUUCCUUGAAAAACAAUGAAUUAAUACUAUAUUUGAUGCUCUAAUAAUUUUAUUUUGGAUUUGUCUUAUACAUGGUCUAAUAAUUUUAUUUUGGAGUUGUUUUAAUACUAUAUGUGAUCCAUGUGAAGCAAGAGAGAGUGUACUAAUUCAUGCUCUAGUUUAUAUUGAUGAAGUUCUAUGCUUUAGGAUUGGAGACUUAAACUAUGUUGAAUAUCUAAGGAGAUGAAGUGGAGUAUGAAAUAUGUAGCAUGCAUGGAUGUACCCCUACCCUUUUUCAUAUGGAUUUGAACUUGUUCUCUCUAAGACCUUUAGGAUUGAUGUACGAACUUGUGAGAUUGAUUAUAUUUAUUUUAUUGCAUAUAUAAUGUUCUCUGAUAGUUGUGAGAGUUGGAUUUGAAUGGGUUGAUAUAUUAACGUAAUAUUAUUAGUAUAUGCAAGCGGAUAUGAAUACUAAUUAAAACAAAAGGAAAACAAAAGGGUAAAAAAAAGAAAAGGAAUAAAAUUUUAGUGCCGGUUAAUAAAACCAACCGGUACUAAACUGCCGGCCCCAACAGCGCGACGUGGCACGCAGUUCAGUACCCGAUGGUGUUACCAACCGGUACUAAAUUGCGCAUUUAGUGCCGGUUGGGCUGCUAGGUACUAAAUGCCACCUGAACUAGCGAUAGCGGUCAGGCACCAGUACUGAAGGAUGGUUCCCGACCGGUACUAGAAGUCAAUUGUCUAGCUGUGAAACCAUGGACUAGCAUUAUGCAGGAGUGAUCAUCCACAUGAUAAUUUGCAAUAGGCUGCGUCCCCUCUGGAUGAUAUGGAUGCCGACUAAUAUCAUAAGCAGCUGCUAGCAUUGGAGUAACAAUUUCUUUAUGUGCAGCCGGAGGUUGACAACAUGGGCAGUGGGGUCACAUUUUGUUCGAUCACUCUUUCUUUCAUAAGGUGAACCUUGUUCAUCUUCAAUUGGCUCUUCUGACAGGCCCAGCAAGGGAAAGAGGUGGAGAAGUAGCCUUCUUCUUUGAUGCAUAUUUCUAAAACAGAGAUGCAAUGUCUCCAUUCCUCUUCAUGUUUCAACAUAUCUGCAAGAGAAUUGUGCCAUGUUUCAAUUUACGAAUCCAACUUCGCAUUUGAAUCCUAAAAUUGAACUGUACAUAAAUCAAUUAUUCAUAUUCAAGUACACGGGCGAAGCAAUCGAUGAAUGAUACAACAGGCGGAGGAAAUAGGUGCCAGCCAAAAUCCUAAGGGGUAAUUGGCCUUGGGCCAGAAAUUCCAAGGUUGUACCAAGCCCACAUGGACCACUGUGUAGCUCCGCCCCUAAUUACAUGCCUUGCUGGUCCUAGAAUCAUGGAGUCCUAUCUAGAUAUGUUAACGGGAACAAACCUGCUUGGUUUUACCAUCCCAAACCCAUGCCCAUGUGGAAUAUCUAAACCCGUUGAAAAACCCAUGCUCGUGACAUGUUGAGAAUUAUGCCUAAACCCGUGCCCAUCGGGUUAGCGGGACUAGGUACCCAUGGGCCGCCCAUGGGUUGCGCCUCUACUAUGCUUGUUCUUCUCAUAAUUGACAAGUUGCAUGAUGAGCAAUGAGUUCAUAGUCCAUAUAUUUAUAUGAUGAGCAACAAGUUCAUAGUUCUCUAUAAAAAGUACUAGUAGAGAGAAUAAAACUACAAAUAACAAGACUACAGUACACACACAAGUCACCAAUCCACCAGAUACAUAACAUAAGCACUAUAAUAGCAAGCUAGCAACACCCUCACCCACCACCAACACAUUCACCAUUUGGAAAAUUAUGAAGUAAAGGGGGACCGACAUCAAUUUUAUAAUACGUUCAUAAAAUAAACUGACAAUAUGCAUUGGACCGGGUUUAAAAAGCCCAGGGGUUCACGGGUUGGGUACUAUAGGAACAAACCCAUGCCCGUAAACCCAAAUGGUAGAGAUUUGUGCCAUUAACAAACCUAUGGGUAAGAAAAUUAACCCACACCUGUGUCCUAAUAGGGUAAAAACCCAUCGUGUUUUGGGUACUCAUUGCAAUCUCUAGUCCUGUAGCUGCUUUCCAAUAACCUUUAGCCAGGCAGUAUGGCUGCAGUCAUCCGAGCAUCCAGAAGACCGGCACAGACGCAGUCAUGUUUGUACACCGUGAAAUCGCAGAAUAUGCUAGUUGCUGGAGCUAGGAUCACCCUUUCGUUAAGUUUGCUCAACCAGUAAACCCUCGAUGAGAUGACUGAGUUGAUCACAGGAUACCUUUUUUGCCAGAUCAAAGAAUGACAUUGUGUCACCGCGUUCAUAAAAAUGAUUAGAUGAAGACUUUUCUUUCCAACCUUGGGUGAGCUUGAUAUAUUCAAGAGCUUUGGCCCUCGACUGUCCUACUAUAUACAACGGAAUGCCAAGAUAUCGAUAAUUUCUGUACAUCUGUUGGCACACCAUGGCAGUUUAGGACCGUCUGCUACUUUUGAUGUCUUCAUAUCUUGUGGUGUUUUUGCUGAAAGUCACAGUACACUAGUAGAGAACUCACCUUUCAUGCGCCCCAUUUUGUCCCGGUUUAAAGUUGGUCCGGGAUAAAAGGUUCACCAACCGGGACUAAAGCUCGGUCACUUGUGGGGGGCUCACCAACCGAGACCUUUUAUCCCGGUUGCAAAGGCUAGUGGAAAAAAAAAACCCUGAGAGGCCUUUUAUCCCGGUUUGAAACACCAACCGAGAUAAAAGACCCCCCUUUUAUCCCGGUUGGUAGCACAAAUCGGGAUAAAAGGGUUGAAGGCCUUUUAUCCCGGUUUGUAAUACCAACCGAGAUAAAAGGGGGUCUUUUAUUCCGGUUGGUUUUUCCAACCGGGAUAAAAGGGUUCCCCACGAGUUAAUACAAAAGGAUUGCAUCCCCUAUAUAGUCAGAUGUGCUGUGUAGGUGGGAUGGCAAGGAAGCUACGCGCGAGGCUAGAGGUUGUGGGUUCGAAUCCCACGUAACGCGCACGCGCAUAUUUCACGUGAAAAAUCGCGUGACUUGAGGCUGGAGGUUGUGGGUUCGAAUCCCACACAACGCGCACGCGCAUAUUUCGCGUGAAAAAUCGCGUGACUUGUGACUUGUGACGUGCGCGUGUGGGGGCCUCCCGGGAUUUUUUUUUUGCAGCGCCUGGCGUGGUGACCCAUUUUAUCCUGGUUGGUUUAUCCCGGAUGGAUUUUCGAGAGAUUUGCAUCCUACCAACCGGGACUAAUACCGAGUUCUCUACCAGUGGUAGCUUGAACGAGAGGAAAAAACAAGUUUCCUUUUGCCUGAUUGUUUUGGUAGGAUUGUUUCUUCCAUAAAAUAAAGCACCGAGGCGUGCACAGUACAUGUACUAUUGGUCAGUAGUCCUAGCAAUGAAUGAUUUAACCAGAUGGCGCAGCUGUGGUGUCUAGUUGUGCUCUUCUAGCGGGGAGACUGCAGAUAUUGCCAUCACAAGAUGCCGUUAGACAUCACAUGUGCUGACCUUGUGGCAACCAUCCAUGGGCAAAUAGUAAUUGUAAUUGAGAGAGGACAUCAAAGCAUGAAGAUGAGAGUGGCAGUGGUGUGGUCGAAUUAAUUAUUUGUGGCCAGAUGCUGGCUCUAAAGCCAAUUAAUGGCAGCUCCCAUCACCAUGGCCCCAUCAUGGCUCACUCCCGGACAGCAUCCCGUCUUGGCGUUAAGCACGAUUGCAAGGGAAUUCUCGUGUACCUAACUACAUUAAAAAUGGCAAUUGUUACUUGACCUACUGAAUAAUUAGUAACAUAGGAAAGUCCCCCACACAACAAAGGAAGUAGGCUCUUUCUGGUGGAAGGAUAUCCUCAGACGAAACACUUGUUUCAGAGGAGUUGCAAGAUGUGUUCUAGGAGAUGGUUCAACAGUGAUGUUUUGGGAAGACCUUUGGAGUCAUCAGGUUCUAGCAGAUUCAUUGCCACGACUAUUCUCAUUCGCCUUGAACAUGCAGAAGAAGCAUAUCCAGAGUUCUUGGCCCUGCAACAAUUCCUUGAAACCAUCCCCUAUGAUGGUCAUUCGAGAGAUAAGUGGAUAUACAUCUGGGGUAACAACACGUACACAUCAAAACGAUUCUACAAUUUUGUCUACACUAGCAUCCAGGCUCCUAUCACCUUUAGUUGGCUAUGGAAGUCCAAGUGCAUGCCACGGUUAAAGUUCUUUGCCUCGUUGCUCCUAGUUGAUCGACUGAAUAUAAGAGGCAUACUUAGAAGACGACAUUAUAAUGUUCAGUCAGGAGUUGGCUGCUGUUUUGCUUCUAGUUCCUUGUGGCAAUCAUCCAUGGGCAAAUAGUAAUUGAGAGAGGACAUCAAAGCAUGAAGAUGAGAGUGGCAAGAGGGCAGUGGUGUGGUCCAAUUAAUUAUUGGUGGCCAGAUGCAGGCUCUAAAGCCAAUUAAUGGCAGCUCCCAUGACUAUGGCCCGGCCCGCUCAUGGCCCACUCCCGGACAGCACCCCGUCUUGGCGUUAAGCACGAUUGCAAGGGAAUUCUCGUGUACCUAACUACAUUCAAAAUGGCAAUUGUUACUUGACCUAUUGAAUAAUUAGUAACAUAGGAAAGUCCCCCACAAGGAAGUAGGCUCCUUCUGGUGGAAGGAUAUCCUCAGAUGUCUUGAACAAGAGCCUACUUCCUUUGCUUCAGAGGAGUUGCAAGAUGUGUUCUGGGAGAUGGUUCCACAGUGCUAUUUUGGGAAGACCUUUGGAGUCAUCAGGUUCUAGCAGAUUCGUUCCCACGACUCUUCUCGUUCGCCUUGAACACGCAGAAGCAUAUACAGAGUUCGUAGCCCUGCAACAAUUCCUGCAAACCAUCCCCUAUGAUGGUCAUUCAAGAGAUCAGUGGAAAUACAUAUGGGGUAACAACACCUGCACAUCAAAACGAUUCUACAAUUUUGUCUACUCUAGCAUCCAGGCUCCUAUCACCUUACCUUUGGCUAUGGAAGUCCAAGUGCAUGCCACGGUUAAAGUUCUUUGCCUGAUUGCUCCUAGUUGAUCGACUAAAUACAAGAGCCAUACUUAGAAAACGACAUUAUAAUGUUCAGUCAGGAGUUGGCUGCGUGCUUUCCUCAUCCGGAGCUAUAGAAAUCCGAGACCAUCUGUUUUUUGAGUGUCCCUUUGCUCAAACCUGUUGGUCCAAGAUUCAGAUUACUUGGACAGACCAGAACAUUCACGACAGAAUUAUUUCAUCCAGACAGUUUCAAGACAACCGCCUCUUCAUGGAUAUAUUCAUCAUUGCAGCUUGGAAUUAUGGAAGAUGAGGAAUGCCGUCAUCUUUGAUGCAGCGAGACCAAACCUUAGACUCUGGGUCGUGAGAUUCAGGGAACAAAUAGCCCUCCAAUUGCAUAGGCUUAGGGAGGAUCGCCGAGCUAUUUUUAUUCAAUGGCUAGAGUCAGUGUGGUAACCUAAUCACCCCCUCCCUCCCCCAGAUCCUUUCUCUUUCUCCCCCUCCUUUGUAAGUAUCUCCUGUACUUUUGCCUCCCUUAUUUUUUUGAAAAUGAAGUGCCGUCGGGAACUCCCCCACAGUUUUGGCUCGAAAAAAUAAUUAUGUUUUAAUUUGAGGUCUUCGGAACAUUACUUGCAAUGGUUCCUCACGGUGUAGUCUAUGUUUAUUACGUGUCUCAUCAACUCCUUCAAAUUUUCUUGAAUUUCAUCGUGGUUAAUAAUUUGUAAACUGAAAAUAUAAUAAUCCCAAAAAUGCUAUCAUAGUGAACAACUAUUAUAACCGUUGCUCGAUGAAGAUCAUUUUAAGACUUAAUUAUUGUUUGCCACUAUCGAGCAAAGUUGCAUUUUAUAGUCUACUUACGCUCUUCUAAAGUUUUCACAGAUCCUUUCUUGGUCAACUUCACUUAACGUUUUGCUCAGCAUAGCAAAUUGCUCAACUACAUCAGCAAGUUGCUCAACUACCUCUCUGCUCCAGCAUCCGAAUCCCUGGCACUCGCGUCCCACCAGCCCAUCCUUUGGAGGAGUGAAGGAGGCCAUGGUGGCACGCGUUCCACGAUGCCCGAAAUGAGAAAGCAGGAACAUCUCGGCAUUGGAUGCAACAGUGAGGCCUUAGUCAUGCUCGAGCUAUGGGGAGCAGCAGUUAUCCACCCUGGGCCCUGUAUUGAUCACUACGCUAGGAAGCUUUUGUGCUAGUGGCUAGAACAGGUUUGUGCUGGAGGGUGCUCGCAACCUUGAGCCAGCACAAAUGCCGUCUGUGCUGGCGCGUGCUCGCCCACCAGCACAGACUGGUCUGUACUGGUGGGUGACGUUAGCCACCCGCUAGCAUAGAUGCUUUCUGUGAUGGCGGUGUGGUUACAUCACCCGCCAGCACAGAUGGUUUCUGUUCUGGUGGGUCGCUAGGAAUAUGUAUUUUCCCAUUCAAUAUAUUAUUUCCUGUGAGUUAUUUAUAAUUUUUAUUUCCUGCCAGUUUUUAGCCGUCAAAUUGAAAUAUGUAUCUCCAACUACACAACAACAAACUUGAAUAAUAAAUAAUUCACAUUAUUAAAAACUACAUCGUGCAUUAUUGAAUAAUAAAGAGGGAGGGAGAGAGGAUAUUCAGAGGACUGGUGAACUCGUUCCCAAAGCAGGAGGCCGGCGUGGCGGCAGUGCUUCGGGGAGUUACGGAACAGGAAGCACACAAACAUAAUUUACAAACUGACGAGGAGGUAGCCAGAUCAAUUGCGAAGAGUGCAACUCCAGAGAUUGCUUGCGACGAUGCUCGCCUAAUCCCUUGUUCAACUAACAAUUCAAGAUGACCUCCUGGCAGUUGGCAGGAUGCCUUUUUUUUUAGAAAAAGGAAAUGUUGGCAGGAUGCAUGAGAUCCCUGAAUCGUUUGAUUGCAACGACUGAUUAAUCAUGGAUUUUCUCUUUGAAGAUGAGCUUGCGAACGUUGAUAUACAGCAAUGCAUGCCUGCAUCAACAAAGAAGAACACAUGUGACAUUUAAUUUUUUUAAAAGUAGCGUGUCACCACCAUGUAUGGAUGAAGCUAGCGGCCCUUGCGUGACAUGUUAAAAACUUGUCUGUAAUUUUCACAUGCGUCGCCUGCGUAAAUAUAUAUGCAUAUCUCGUGCAUCGUUGGUGGGAAUUGGGAAACCAGGUCGAUAGUGAUGCCUGCUCGAAAUCAAAUUCAAAUCUUCCCUGAUCAAUGGAUAUCUUUAUUUAUACUUUUUUAAGGAUAAAAUAUAGCAGCGGCUAUUAAUAUGUAUGGAGAAAUUUUAGAAUGCUUCAAAAAAUAAGAGUCGUACAUCCGGCGAAAUUGAACGGUAGAAACAAAGGAAGGACCAUGAAGUACCUAAAGAGAAGUAUCAAGAAGUAUCAAUUUGGUAGAAAUAAGUACAAAAAUAAUGAGAUAUUACUAUGAUGCCCUUUUAAUUAUGUGUAAAUUUAUUUAAUUUCUUUUUUAGAAAGGGUAAGAAAGAAAAAUCCCUGCAAGUACCACUGGUACUUUAAAAGCAUUGUAGCAAAGCUCGUAUGUAUAUACUCCAUCCUAGGCAUUGUUAUUGGCAAACCUAAAUCGAUGGUGAGGCCUCCUCCGAAUCCCUGGCCAGUGGAUAUCUGUAUCCAUUUUACAUUUUUUAUGUGUAAAAUUAAAUAUAGCAGCGAUUUUUUAAUUUGUUUGGCCACAAUCUAGGUCCUUGAGUUUAAGAGAACAAAUUUUAGACCGGGAUGACAUAUUUAGCAUGUUUAUGGACACUAGUUCAUCAACCUGUACUCCCGCACGAGGUAAUAAUGUUAUUUAAAAAAUUAUAUUCCUAACUAAUAAUCAAAAUUAUUUAUGUGUGAUUCUUUUAUUUAUUUAAUAUUCUUACAAUACUUUAGUUUUCAUUGAUUUUAAUUGGUAAUUACUCUAUUCUUUUUUAUCCAGAUUUAUUGUAACAACUUGCUCCAAAAUCUGCUUAUGGCUCAGCUCCUCACAUGGAAUAGCACACGCAUAACACCUCUCUUACACUUUCGUCCUCGCUUCAUGUAAAAGGGUUAACCUGGAGGUGCUAUGUUUGGAGCGACAAGGAUUAUAAACUAUCCCUCACCCCCCUAACCUUCCAAUGUGGUACCAAACCCACCUACUACAACCACAAUUGGACCACAUGGACCAACAACUUCAACUACUAUGGUAUAUUGGGCUGGGUAUUACAUUCCACUACUAGAGAACUCACAUUCCAUUCAACCCUUUUUGUCCCGGUUGACUUUGGACCCAAGACUAAAGUGCCCUUAGUGCGGGGUCAAAAAUGAGCCACCGAAGGCCACCGAUAGGGGGAGCUUUAGUCCCGGUUGUAAAAAUCAUCUGGGACUAAAGCCCCCCCUUUAGUCCAAGUUGUAAUAGCUACUGGGCUGAAAAACUAUGCAACGCCGGCCCCUGAUCUUCUCCUAGCGCAGCCUCCUCUCCCGUAGUUUCUCCUCGUGCAAGCCUUUCUCUUCUUCGUAUCUUCUCUCCUCCUCCUCCUCUUCCGGAGAGCAGUGGUGGGCGAGCGCAGGCGAGCGGCGGGCCGGUGCGGGCUGCAUGUGCGGGCGCGAGAGGAGCGGCAGGCGCGGGCGGGCGAGCGGCGGGGCGACGUGGGCAGCACAUGGCCUCUUUUGUUUAUUUUUUUUUGGAAACUUUUUAGUCCCGGUUGGUUUUACCAACCGGGACUAAAGGGGGUCUUUAGUCUCGGGUGAAUGACCUAGGACUAAAGGACCCCCUUUUGUCUCGAAUAGUUAGUCCCGGUUGAAUUUUCGGGAUCUAUGACCCAUACCAACCGGGACUAAAGGUAGAUUUUCCAGUAGUGUUCAUACCUUUUUCUGCACCUCCAUACAUUGUGUUGAAUACUAAAAUUAAUAUUUUCAUUCGAUUCCUUCCAUACAUGUAUAAAUGGUCUACACAGUGACACACAUCAUGCAUACGUAUAUGAACUUAUUAUUUCUAUAUUAUCAACAACAAAAAUAGGUAUUUUAGAAUUUAUAUUUGUUUACUUUUUGAUAUAUUGCUGUACAAUGAAUAUGAAAAUAAUUAGAUUAAAAUUUAUGAGCUUACUUUAGGUUAUUUUAAAUAACGACAUGUGUGGGUAAUUGAGAUACAAAUUUAGAAAUACAUUUUAAGUUAUCCUUGUAAUGACAUGUAUUAAUAAUUUAGACACAAAUUAUGGGUUACUAUAAAUUAUUUUUGUUAUAAUGCAGAAAUGGGUAAUUUAGAUAUCAGUCUAGGAUUUAUUAUAUUUUCUAAAAAGUUACCCACAUAUUCCAUUAUAAAAAUUAGCCACAUAUGCCAUUAGAAUAUUUUCACAAUAAUAGCAGUGGGUAAUUUUUUAGAGAAUAUAAUAGACAAAUAGCUAUGAUUAUUAGUGCCUACCGUACUGAUGCCCAGAUGUUUUUGAAUUUUGUGAGAAUUUUCUAGCACGUCAUGUGAAAAUUAAGCGUGGUGCAUAGACCAAUGGCUAUGAAUGUGUAUGAAAAGGUGUAUGGUGUAUUAUUAAUCAAGCAAUGCAAGUUCUCGGGAGAUGCUAAAAGGCGAGCUCAAAAUGCCAAAGAUAAUGCAAGCAAAAAGAAACACUUUCAUCGUCUUAGCCAAUGAGGUUAUAAGACGGCGAUGCCCAAAUGGCAGAGAAUAGAAGAUGACCUAAUAGCGAGAGAAAUCGUGCCAGCAAGUCUCGAUUGGCCAUUGCGAGCAAAGAACUUUUUCAACGCUCAUGGCGGCACACUAAAUAGGGAAGAAGGAUCAUUUAUUACUAGAAAUUCAAUGCUAUUUUUAUUCAAUGGCUAGAGUUAGUGUUGUAACCUAAUCACCUCCUCCCACACCCUCCUUUCUCUUUCUCCCCCUCCUUUGUAAGUAUCUCAUAUACUUUUGCCUCCCUUAUUUUUUUGAAAAUGAAGUGCUGUGGGGAACUCCCCCACAGGUUUUGCUCAAAAAAACAAUUAGUAACAUGUUUUAAUAUGAGGUCUUCAGAACAUUACUUGCAAUGGUUCCCCCAUGCUGUAGUCUAUGUUUAUAAUGUGUCUCAUCAACUCCUUCAAAUUUUCUUGAAUUUCAUCAUGGUUAAUAAUUUGUAAACUGAAAAUAUAAUAAUGUCACACCCUAAAAUUUUUGGAUUUCAGGAUGUGAUUUGAAAGAAUAAUUAAACAAUGAUUUUCUCAUGGUUUUAAAAUUUUUUCCAACAUUUAUUUUCUUGACAGGAAAUUUAGUAUAAGAAAAAUAAUUGGUUAUAUUUUUUUGAAUUAAAUAAACUGGUUCUAUGUGUGUUGCAUUCAUGCCGAUGCAUCUUGGUGUUUAUUGAGUGCAAAUGUUUUAAAAUGCGUUUAGACGACGACCAGGUUCUUCUCAGAAGUUUCCAACUUUUUCUGGAAUUUAUUCUCAAUUUCCUAGAGCUAAAUCUAUUUAUUAAAAGGCUCUAGAAUCUUUUUCACGAGCUCCAAGUGUUUUAUUUUUCACGAGCAACAGAAGCGAGGAAAGCCGCUGGCUUUAAGCCUGCCUUGUAUGAACCCCUGGCAGUGAAGGAGGUACAUGUUGAGGGAGAGGCGGACAAUUGAGUGACGCAUUAUGCUGUUUUUUUUUUCACUAUUUGUGCUAUGCUAUAGCAGGCCAGAAAGCGCAUAGAUACGGGAUGUUCCAGUUUCCUUUUGUUAGCAGUGAGAUGUUGGUGACCUCUGUGGUCGUUUUCUUUACCACGGACAUACUUUACUGAUCUCGAACUUUACAAACCAAGCUGAACAAUAUUUUGCAGCAACGUUCUAUUCCAUUAAAUGAACUUUGUUUUUACUUAUGAUUGCUUAGGUGAGCGGCCGCACUGUACUGCAGGUGCGCGGCUUGGAAGUAUAUUGUGGGAGCUGUGCAUUGCAAGUUGUCCUGUCGUGUAUUUGUGGCCAUCAACUUUGUAGGUUUGAUGGGCUAAAAGGAACAAAGAUGUAGACAUCUCUAGUCCUCAACUUGUUCGUUUGUGCUGAAAAAAGAUCCCUUCAUUGAUGUGUUAUUCUGCAUGCCAGGUCAGCUAAAAUUUACUUGGGUUUUCAGGGGACCAGGUCUAUCUACACGUGUGAAAUGUUUGUUGCACACCCCUUUUGCUCUUUGUGAGCAAAUGAUGAUGGCACAAAUAGAAGAAGGGUCGACGUCAUCCCGGAGAUUGCCCAGUUAAAAACGAAGGCCCUAAGUCCUCUUGGUUUCUCUUUCUCAUACUAUGAUAAAUGGCAUUUUGCUAAAAUGUACGUGCGGUCUUAAGCGUGAAUAAUAUAAGUCAUCUUGCGGCAAUCAUGGAGUUGUACAAAUUACGUGCCUUCCUGUCGGAUUUGGACAACUAAUAAUGCCGUUUUCAGAUUUGUUAAAUUUUGUGGUUACGUGUGACCACAACUCAGCUCCAACACCAGAAGUCGUCAUUAUCUGAGAAAUGCCGCCCUUCUACAUCUCGAAGAAUAAUAUAAGCACCUACGGCUCUAUUUGGAUUAUAUGAACACACAAGAUUCUACGGAAUAACACCGAAAGAUGCCCGGAUGAUUACUUGUACAUCUCAAAUUAAAAGCAAACAGUACUAUAGACUAACUCAUUCUUUAGAAAAGGGAUAACAUAACUAAGCUCCUACGACUUUGGCUCAUGGAGACAAAAAUGGGAAAACAAAAACUACUAAAACUCUACUGCAAAGCGCUAUAUAUGAACGCGUAUGGGCUUGGCCUGAGCAGGAAAACCAGGCCCCAGAAAAGAUGGAGCACGAGGUCUGGUUGCUCUGGGCAACGCUCGCCGGCGUCGUCUCGCUCCUCUACUACCUGGCCAUCCUCAGCCGCCGUCGAGGCUCCGGCCGGCUGCCGCCGGGCCCCCGGCCGCUCCCGAUCAUUGGCAACGCGCUCGACCUGCGAGGCAACCUCCACCACGCGCUCGCGCGGCUGGCGCGCACCCACGGCCCCGUCAUGCGCCUCCAGCUCGGCCCCGUCCCGGCCGUGGCCCUCUCCUCCCGAGACGCCGCGAGGGAGGCCUUCACCAGGCACGACCGGCGCCUCACGGGCCGCUACACCGUCGACGCCGUCCACGCGCUCGGGUGGGCCGACCGCUCCCUGGUCAACAUGGCCAGCUCGGACCCGCUGUGGAAGCUGCAGCGCGGCAUCCUGGCGGCGCACGUCUUCUCGUCGCGGAGCCUCGCGGCGGCGCGCGGCGUCCGGGAGCGCAAGGUGCGGGACCUGGUCGCACACCUCCGCGCGCGCGCCGGGCGGGAGGUGGACGUCGGCAGGGCGCUGUACGGCGGCAUGAUCAACCUCGUGUCGAGCACCUUCUUCUCCGUCGACGUGGUGGACGUUGACGCCACCGGCGAAUCGGCGCACGGGAUGCGGGAGCACGUGGAGAACAUAGCCGACCUGAUGACGAAGCCCAACGUCUCCGACCUCCUCCCCUUCCUGCGGCGGCUCGACUUGCAGGGGCGGCGCCGCGCGGCGGCCUGGCACCUGGGGGAGAUCUACCGCAUCUUGGACGGCAUAAUCGAGCGCAGGCUGGCCGAGAACGCCGACGGCAGGCACGGCGACGACUUCCUCCAGGUGCUCCUGGAUCUCAUGUCCACGGGCAAGAUCGACCGCGACACCGUGAAGGCCAUCGUGUUCGAGAUCUUCUUCACCGGCGGCGACACGAUCACGAUCACGGUGGAGUGGGCGAUGGCCGAGCUGCUCCGCAACCCGAGCACCAUGGCCAGGUUGCGCGCGGAGAUCGCCGGAGCUCUGGGCGGCAAGGAGACCAUCGAGGAGCCGGACGUGGCGGGCCUGCCGUACCUCCAGGCCGUGUUCAAGGAAUCCAUGCGGCUGCACCCGGUGGCGCCGCUGCUGGUGCCCCACAAGGCCGUGGAGGACGGCGUCGAGGUCUGCGGCUACGCCGUGCCCAAGGGCUGCACGGUCUUCGUCAACGUGUGGGCGAUCAUGCGGGACACGGCGGUGUGGGACGAGCCGGACAGGUUCAUGCCGGAGCGCUUCUUGGGCAAGGCGGCGGAGGUGGACUACAAGGGGAAGGAAUUCGAGUUCUUCCCGUUCGGGUAUGGACGGAGGCAGUGCCCCGGUAUGCCCAUGGCGGAGCGCGUCGUGCCACACCUGCUGGCGUCGCUGCUGCACGCGUUCGAGUGGAGGUUGCCAGAGGGCAUGGCGGCCGAGCAGGUGGACGUCAGCGAAAGGUUUACAACUGGCAAUGUCCUGGCCGUCCCUCUCAAGGCCGUGCCCGUCGCAAUUACCUAGCAGGCACCAAAUAAGGUAUAUUGUACUGCAAUUGGUGUCCGUUGUUGCAGCGAAAUGUUUCUUGUUUCUAGCGUAUGAUUGAUGCUCGAUAGUGAAAUUUCCUGAAAGUAUGGAGGUGAUUGCAUUACUUGUAUCAUUUUAUGUAUAACUAGUGGACGUGCACGAGCGGUGGGAAGAUAUGUAAAUCAACGACAUACACGAGCUAUGUAAAUCAUGUUGGAAGAUUUUGAUCAGUUUGAUGAACUUUCUCCAUUCUCAGUUGAGGUUGACACUAGCAUCCUAUUAUCCAAAGAAGAUGCUCCGUACUUACACCGCGAUCAUGACCAAGGGACAUUCGUCAAGAAAAAGAUUAUCAAUGUUCAUUGAAUAACGAUGAGUAGGUUUAGAACCAUUAUAUUGCGUGGUAUUAAUUAUGUGGUCAUGUGAUGAACUAUUGUAAUGUAUUUUGUACAAUUCGAACAAUUAUGUGGUAUUUCUACGAUUAACGAUACUAUUCGUACAAUUUGGAUCAAAUAAAACAAACACAAAUUCAUAAAUUAUUUUUUCAUGGUUAAAAUAUUAAAUAUUUGCAGUAUUUUGGAUCAUCAAAAGUCUUCAAAUAUUAAAUUAGAGGUACAUUGUAUACUGAAGGCAUAAUUGUCGAAUUUAUUAUAGCUAAUAUUUCUUAAUAUUUAUCAUGUUCAAAAUAGUAGUUUUUUUGUUUUUUGGGAUUAACAACAGUGUGGAAACAUUUCAUAUCCUAUUAGUAAUUAAAAAUUUCUAAUUUUACUAUAUCAAUAAAUUGUUGUAUGGUGUAGAGAUAGCCAACAGCAAGGUAUGAAACUUUUUUCAAUAUUUUUCCUAAGUUUACUCCAUUUAUUAAGCAUAAAACAAAUAUAACAGUAAUUUUAGAAAUAAGAAAAGAAAAUAGAGUGCGCGCAGAAAACCAAACACUUGGAGGUGGAUUAGUACAUGGCGGAGGCCUUGGCCGGUACUAAAUUCCCCAUGUUUCGCCUCCCGCCAUUUUUGCCCGAUUAGUACCAGGCGAAGGCCUUGGCCAGUACUAAAUGAAACCAUUUAGUACUGGACAGCAGCUAGCACCGGUACUAAAGGCUAUUUUGUACCGGGCGGGCCACCGCCUGGUACUAAACUGCACAAACCUGCAAAAAUCCCACCCCACUUCUUCUCCAACACUUAGCCACGCAGUCGUUCCUUCUCCCGAUCCUGUCGCCACUCCGCUGCCUCCGACGUCGUUGUCCACCAUCAACCGCGGCGCGGCUCCUUCUCAAUGUCUGGCUACGCCCAACACUCCCCGGCAUCGCGGCGCACUCCAGACUAUUGCAUGCCGCGCUCCUCCUCGACGUCCGCACUACCCAGCGCCCCAGCUAACCGGCCCCCUUCCUCGGCGCACACGACCCUGGCUCCUCCUUGACUUCCUCGACAUCCAGCCGCAUCAGGUGUUAGGCUACGAGGUAGGCUACACUAGCACAAAACAAAAUUUUUCUACCGCGUAAACCAGGAAAACUGCCGUAUAUGGAUCACGGGAUUACCGCUCGACGCACUGGUGCGGAAGAUGUAGAAUCGCGUCGAGGCAGCGAAGUCGAUCAGCGUAGUUGAGCACGUAGUCGAUCACGUCGAUGUCAAGUCGUGCCUCAGCAGCUCAUCCACGUGCAGCAAAGGUCGUCCUCGUGCCGCGGCUCGUCGUCGGCUCAUUGUGGCUCGGCGGCGGCUCAUCGUUGCUCGUCGGCGACUCGUCGAAGUGCUGCAGGUGCAACACCUCUAAGGUAUCCACACGUGCAGGGAGGAAGCAUCGCAAGCCGGACUGCUAGGUCCGCGAGUUGCAACACGGUGAGGGCGUGGGAGGCGCGGCAGAUGUGUUUCGGCUAAAAGGAUCAAACCCUAGGGCGCCCCACCCCUCUAUUUAUAGAGGUUCUUGACGGGCCACUGGGUCCAAGGCCCAUUAGUACUUCUAAACCUCAUCCAACUCGGAUCAUAUCCAAAUUGGGCUUCCAGCCCCUUAAGUGUGUGACCCUAUGGGUUCGAAUACCUAUAGACAUGGCCCGAGUACUCCUACUCGGCCCAAUAGUCGGUAGCGGCCUCUAGCAAGAUAUGCCAACUCCUAUAUGCACACGAAGAUCAUAUCAGACGAACCGUCACAAUAUUAUGUACAUGUUAUUCCCUUUGCCUCACGAUAUUUGGUCUAGCUUCAAGCCGAUCGCUCUUUCUCGAUCCUGUGAUUCGGAAUCCCUUUGUAGGUUAACUCUUAACCUUAUGCAGCAUGGACAUGCAUUUUCGGAUCCGAUCACUCGAGGGGCCCAGAGAUAUCACUCUCAAUCAGAGAGGGGCAAAUCCCAUCUUGAUUGACCAUGUCUCAUAGCAUGCUUCUUGACAAACCCGAAAGCUACCUUUUUAACUACCCUAUCACGGUGUAGCGUUUGAUAGCCCCUAAGUAAGUCGAUCCACAUCUUGAGUACAUGCGACAAUCUCAGGUCUAAGGACAAAGCAUACAUGUUGUGUAAAGGAAGAACUACUUCUCGCGUUGGGUCAGUCCUAGCACAUGUCUCCACAUGUGCCUACAUUAUUAGUUUGAUAUCUCCAUGUCCAUGACUUGUGAAAAUAGUCAUCAACUAAUACAUAUACUAGUCUAAUAUUCAUGUGUGUCCACACAUGAACUCCGACUAGGGACAACUUUUAGAAUAACCAUACAAGUAAAGAGUUCCACACACAAUUCACAUAAUUCCAGAUCAAUUCAAGUAGCCUUUAAUGGAUAUUCAAUGAACACAAUAUACAAAUCAUGGAUACAAUUAGAUAUCAUCAUCUCUAUGAUUGACUCUAGGGCAUACCUCCAACAAUCUCCCACUUGCACUAGAGUCAAUCUAGAAUAUAUCUAAUACCCAUAGCUCUUAUGUGCGCAUCAUGCUUAGACUGCAGGAGAGGCUUUGUCAACGGAUCAGAAAUAUUCAAAUCCAUCUGUAUUUUGCAUAUCUGGAUCUCACCCCGAUUAACGAAGUCUCUAAUGAGAUGAAAUCGCCGCAUAACGUGUUUGUUCUUUUGGUGAUUCCUUGGCUCCUUUGUUUGCGCAAUUGCUCCAUUGUUAUCACAAUAGAGAUUCAAUGGGCUGGACGCAUUUGGGAACACACCAAGCUUAACAAGGAAAUUCCUUAUCCAAACACCCUCCUUCGCGGCUUCCGAAGCCGCGAUGUACUCAGCUUCUGUCGUAGAAUCGGCCACCGUAUCCUGCUUGGAACUCUUCCAACUAACAACACCACCAUUUAGCGUGAACACAAAUUCUGAUUGUGACUUUGAAUCAUCUCUGUCGGUUUGGAAACUAGCAUCGGUGUAACCUGUUACAAUGAGCUCCUCCUCACCUCCAUAGACGAGGAACAUAUCUUUAGUCCUUCUCAAGUACUUAAGAAUGUUUUUCACCGCUGUCCAGUGACUCUCACCCGGAUCAGACUGGUGUCUACUUGUCAUACUUAGCGCAUAUGAAACAUCUGGGCGAAUACUUAUCAUUGCAUACAUGAUAGAUCCAAUGGUCGAGCAUAUGACACUCUACCCAUGCAGUCGAAGGACACUGAGUCUUGCUGAGAUGUAUGCCAUGUGACAUAGGCAAGAACCCUUUCUUCGCUUCUUCCAUGCUGAAUCGCUUCAACACUUUGUCAAUGUAAGUAUCUUGGCUUAAUCCUAUAAGCCUUCUCGAUCUAUCUCUAUAGAUCUUAAUGCCCAGAAUAUAUGCCGCUUCCCCUAAGUCCUUCUCGAGAAACUAUUUUUCAAUGAAGUCUUUACGGACUCAAGCAUAGGAAUGUUAUUUCCAAUCAGCAAUAUGUCAUCCACAAAUAAGAUUAGAAAUACUACAGAGCUCCCACUAACCUUCUUGUAAACACAAGACUCUUCUUCGUUCUUGGUGAAGCCAAACCCUUUGACCACUUCAUCAAAAUGAAUGUUCCAACUCCUAGAUGCUUGCUUCAAUCCAUAAAUGGAUCUCUGAAGCUUGCAUACUUUUCCAGCAUUUUUCGGAUCGACAAAACCCUCGGGCUGUAUCAUAUACACGUCCUCAGUUAGGUUUUCAUUCAGGAAAGCAGUCUUGACAUCCAUCUGCCAUAUCUCAUAAUCGAAAUAUGCAGCUAUAGCUAGAAUAAUCCGAAUGGACUUAAGCAUCACUACGGGUGAAAAGGUCUCGUCGUAGUCAACUCCUUGAAAUUGUCAAAAACCUUUUGCGACAAGUCGUGCUUUAUAGUUGUGAACAUUUCCAUCCAUAUCCUUUUUCUUCUUAUAGAUCCACUUGCACUCUAUGGCUUUAACACCAUCAGGUGGGUCAACCAAGUUCCAAACUUGAUUGUCUCCCAUGGACACUAUUUCGGAUUGCAUGGCACUCUGCCAUUUUUCGGAGUGUGGGUCCAUCAUUGCUUCUGCAUAUGUCGCAGGCUCAUCAUUGUCCAACAAUAAUAUUUCCCGCAUCUCACGGAGCCUUGCCGACCUUCGUGGUUGUGGCGGUGCUUCUCUUGCCAUGGGUGUCUCAACUUGUUCUGCUACGUUAGCAUCACUCGUUGAUUCUUGCCCGAUCGGCUCAUCUCGAACUUCUUCAAGAUACACUGUCUUUCCACUCUUUUCUCCUUUGAGAAACUCUUUCUCUAGGAAAACCCCAUUCCGAGCAACAAACACUUUUCCCUCUGACCGGUUGUAGAAAUAAUAUCCUAAAAUUUCCUUUGGAUAUCCCAUGAAAAUGCACUUAUCCGACUUAUCCAUAUCUACUAAAAUCAUCAGUAAAAGUUAUGAAGUUUUGGUACCCUCCUCUGGCUGUCGUGCUCAUUGGUCCGCAUACAAGUUCCAACAAGUCUAAUGCUCUCUUAGGAAAACCUGUGAAAGGUGCCUUGGUCAUCUUGCCUAGUAAGCAAGCCUCACAUAUCUCGUAUGAUUCAAAAUCAAACAAAGUUAAAAGUCCAUAAGUAUGGAGCUUCUUCAUGCGUUUCUCACUUAUAUGACCCACACGACAAUGCCACAAGUAGGUAGGACUCAAAUCAUUAGGCCGAAGCCUUUUAGCACUUAUGUUAUAGAUAGGUGAAUUAUCAAUAUUUAAACAAACAAUCCAUUCACAAUAGGUGCAAAAGCCAUAAACAUAUCAUUCUUAGAGAUCACACAACCAUUGUUUUCGCUCGCAAAUGAAUAACCAUCCUUCAUCAAGCAUGAAGGAGACAUAAUGUUUCGACUUAAACUAGGAAUGAAAUAACAAUUAUUCAACUCCAUAAUAAAUCCUGACGGGAGGUGGAGUUGCAUCGUCCCAACGGUCAAUGCAGCAACUCUUGCAUUAUUGCCCACGUGGAAAUCAACUUCUCCUCUUUCCACACUUCUACUUCUUAUCAUUCCUUGCAUCGAAUUGCAAAUAUGAGCAACCAAUCCGGUAUCAAAUACCCAAGAAUUAAUAAUUGUAUCAGCGAGAAAUAUGUUGUCUAUAACAUUAAUAACAAGCGUACCUGAGGUGGAAGUACUCUUACUUCCCUCAUUCUUCAACGAAGCUAGGUACUGCUUGCAAUUUCUCUUCAAGUGACCAAGUUCGUGACAAUAAAAGCACUCUUUGUCUGGAGUAGGUCCAGGUCCAGCUUUAACCUUGGGCGCUAGGUUUGGCUUGGACAUUCCAGCCUUACCCUUCUUAUUCCAAGAAUUGCCCUUCCUCUUAAAGCUAGGCUUGUUCUGUAUAGCCAUCACAUGGCUGCUACUAGCACUUUUCUUAAUGUCAGCCUCUGCUGUUUUAAGCAUGCCACACAGUUCAUUCAGACCCUUCUCCGUCCCAUGCAUAUGGUAGUUCGAGAUGAAGUUCUCAUAGCUAGACGGAAGAGAUGAAAGAAUGAAAUCAGUGGCCAACUCUUGGCCUAGUGGGAAGCCCAGCUUCUCCAACCGUUGAGUGUAACCAACCAUCUUGAUUACAUGUGGUCCUACUGCUGCGCCUUUUGCUAGCUUGCUCUCCACAAAGGCCUUAGACACAUUGAAUCUUUCAGUCCUGACCUGUGUCUGGAACAUGUCUCUAAGCGCCACGAUCAUAUCGUGCACCUCAUGGUUUGUUUUGAACUGCAUCUGCAGCUCGGGUUCCAUUCAAGCAAGCAUAAGACAGCUUACUUCGAGGUUAGCAUCACAUGCUUUCUUGUAAGCAUUCUUAACAGCAGCAGGUGCAUCAUCAGCAGGUUCUUCUGGUAAUGGGUUGUCUAGAACAUCUUCCUUUUUCUCAACCCUGAGAACAAUUCUCAUGUUACGGAUCUAAUCUGAGUAGUUUGUUCCAUUCAACUUGUCCUUCUCAAGGACCGAACGCAAAGCAAACGGUGUGGUGUUGCUAGGUGCCAUUUAAUCUACAAUAAAAGUAAUGCAAAAUACACUAAGACAAACGUAUCCAUGAUAGAGCAAAUCACAUUAAACUAUUUAACAGAAUCUACUCCCACUAAAAUCAAUAUCCCUCUAUUGAUACUUAGUGAUUCAGGAUCCACAACUAACAAGUCUACUAGUGAGCUUUAGCAUCACCGCUAGCAAACAAGGUAGAUCAGUAAGCAACUUCUUGUUAAUCAUAUCACAUAUGACUCCUGUUGUUGGGUGACAUCUCCAUGUCUCGGCGUCCAACCUUUAUGCCCCAAGGUCCUUAACUGUUAAGAUAACCUUGUUAAGAAAACCAUCCCUUAUGCGUGUAAGUGUCUGACACAAACCCGUCUAGUCAAGGAAAACUAGUGGCACCCUAAUUUCAUAGACCCACCGCCAAUUGUACAAGACAUGGGACGGUGCAAGUUUUAGUUGGAAGGGCAUACUAACUUAAAAUUUGUGAGGGAUCGUUCUACUUCUAACAUCACAUCAUGCAGGAAGUAAAACAUAAAGAAUAACAUGCACACAGUUGUGACACAGUAUGACCCGUUUUCUUAUGGUGAUCUCCAUCUCCACAGAACCUGUUCACCAUAGUGAUCUCCAUCUCCAUGUUCCAUGUGCGCCGUCCUCCUGGUGCUGAGUCCUCCAAGAACUAGAACAUGCUAUUGCACCUAAUAGCUAGUAAUGAAGAUUACAUAGUUGCUUGGAUCAUCACAAAUUGGUACGCAGACCAUUAAAUACAUUAAAGUGACAACACAUAUGGCUCCAACCGUGUUGCCGUACGCACGACACGCAGGUCAUGAAUGAGUUACACACAUGCAUCACAUACACAAAGGGGCCAUACUGAUCACAAGAUCUAUACAUCCUGCAAAACAGAGUUAGGCGUUCUAACGUUCCAAACUUCGGAGGCCCGUAACUCCAUCUUCCAAGCCAAAUUUGGGAAAUCUAAUUUCGUCGAAAAUGGAAAAGCGGUUGAAUUUCAUGUGUAACUUUUUCUGUAGAUCAAUUUUCAUAUAAAAUUCACCUCGAUCCGAGAUCGUACCGAAAAGUUACGGCUAUUUUACCAAAGCACACGCAUACGGCAAAAUUCCGACCCGGCAGUAGAUCCAAUCUACUAUUGCACAUCUCAUGUGCCUGGCGUAUGAACCUAGAUUUCGAUUCGACCAAUCAUAUUGAUCUUCGCUCACUGUAGCUGGCAUUACGUGUAUCACUUAACUCCGAUGGAGGAAAUCCGACCGGUAGGAGUAUGUCGUUACACGACCAUUGCAGCAAAAACACGAAAAUAGGCCAUAGAUCAGUCUGAAAACUCGUAUAUCUCCAUAUGCACACAUCCGAAUCCAUAACAAAAACAGCUAUGGCUCUGAUACACUGUUGGGCUACGAGGUAGGCUACACUAGCACAAAACAAAAUUUUUCUAUCACGUAAACCAGUAAAACUGCCGUAUAUGGAUCACGGGAUUACCACUCGAUGCACUGGUGCGGAAGAUGUAGAAUCGCAUCAGGGCAGCGAAGUCGAUCAGCGUAGUCGAGCAUGUAGUCGAUCAUGUCGACGUCGAGCAAUGCCUCAGCAGCUCGUCCACGUGCAACAAAAGUCGUCCUCGUGCCGUGGCUCGGCGUGGCUUGUCGGCGACUCGUCGAACUGCUGCAGGUGCAACACCUCCAAGGUAUCCACACGUGCAGGGAGGAAGCGUCGCAAGCCGGACUGCUAGGUCCACGAGUUGCAACAGGGCGAGGGCGUGGGAGGCGCGGCAGAUGUGUUUCGGCCAAAAGGAUCAAACCCUAGGGCGCCCCACCCCUCUAUUUAUAGAGCUUCCUGACGGGCCUCUGGGUCCGAGACCCAUUAGUACUUCUAAACCUGAUCCAACUCGGAUCAUAUCCGAAUUGGGCUUCCAGCCCCUUAAGUGUGUGACCCUAUGGGUUCGAAUACGUAUAUACAUGGUCCGAGUACUCCUACUUGGCCCAAUAGUCGGUAGCGGCCUCUAGCAAGACGUGCCAACUCCUAUACGCACACGAAGAUCAUAUCAGACAAACUGUCACAACAUUAUGUACAUGCUAUUCAAUUUGCCUAAUGAUAUUUGGUCUAGCUUCAAGCUGACCACUCUUUCUCGAUCCUGUGAUUCGGAAUCCCUUUGUAGGUUAACUCUUAACCGUACGUAGCAUGACCAUGCAAUUUUGGAUCCGAUCACUCAAGGGGCCAGAAGAUAUCACUCUCAAUUAGAGAGGGGCAAAUCCCAUCUUGAUUGACCAUGUCUCACAGCAUGCUUCUUGACAAACCCGAAAGCUACCUUUUUAACUACCCUGUCACGGUGUAGCGUUUGAUAGCCCCUAAGUAAGUCGAUCCACAUCUUGAGUACAUGCGACAAUCUCAGGUCUCAGGUCUCAGGUCUAAUAAUGUGCCUACAUUAUUAGUUUGACAUCUCCAUAUCCAUGACUUGUGAAAUAUAGUCAUCAACUAAUACAUGUACUAGUCUAAUAUUCAUGUGUGUCCACACAUGAACUCCGACUAGGGACAACUUUUAGAAUAACCAUACAAGUAAAGAGUUCCACACACAAUUCACAUAAUUGUAGAUCAAUUCAAGUAGCCUUUAAUGGAUAUUCAAUGAACACAAUAUACAAAUCAUGGAUACAAUCAGAUAUCAUCAUCUCUAUGAUUGCCUCUAGGGCAUACCUCCAACAUCAGGAACUCCGCGGCAGCACGGUGCACUCCUCCCCGUAGGACGCCGCACUUCUCCUCGACAUCCACGCCCUAGCUCCUCCUCGACUUCCUUGACAUCUGGCCACGCCCAACGCUCCCUUGGCACCUCAGCGUGCAUCCUCCCCACAGGAUUCUGUGCUCCUCGACGUCAGCCGCCGUCCCGCCCCGGUUGGCCCCCCCGAGCUCCGCCGUGCCUCACCCCGUGCUCGCCAUGCAUCGGCCGCCACUGAGCGCCUCUGCCCUUGUCGUGCCCUCCAUCACCAGGAGCUCACGCCGGCCGCUAUCAGGACCCCGCGCUCUGGCCUCCGCCUUCGCCCCUACCACCGCACCCUCGGCCCUUCUGCGUGCAUACGUAAGCCCCCAACCCCCCACCCCGAUCGCUGAUGUCAGCAAUCCCCAUGAUUAUGUCAGCAAUUAGUAAUUAGAAAAUAUAAGAAAUUGGUAGUAAUCAUUUAGAUUACUGGAAAGUGGCUAGGAAACUUCCUUACAUGAAGCCUAGAAUUAUUUCUUUUGUUUCAUUUAGUUACAUUCUUUUUAGAAUUACUUUCUUAAUUGUUACUUUUAGUAAUGGUUAGAUUUACUUGUUAAUAUGGAAGAUAAUAAUAUAGAAAACUAUUACAAAAUAUAGGAAAUUGCUAGAAAUCAUUGAGAUUACUGGAAAAUGGCUAGAAACUUACUUACAUGAUUGACAAUGCCUAGAAUUAUUUUUUUAUUAAUGGAAAAAAUUAUUUCUUUUAGCUUUAUUUAUUCUUAAUUACUAUCUAAAUACCUUGUUUUUUCUUUUACUGGUUAAAAUGGGAGACAGAGAGGAAGAAGCGUUCCAGCAAAAUAUUAUUAAUGAAGUAGAUGAUGCUACAAGCGAAGAGGAUGAUGGCAGCCAGUACCUAAAUACGACUGGUGAUGGCGGUGAUGAUGCUCCAGCCGAAGAGGAGGAAGAAAUUGCCGAGCAUAUGAAUCCUUGUAUACAUAAACAUGAUUUGAAUUCUCUACCUAUCAACCAUGGGUAUAAUUAAUGCUUCUUUUUUUAGCCAUCUGGAUCCUCCAUGAGACCUAAACAGAAAUGAGGCGGGAAGAAAAAGUUGGUAGGGCGUACCAUCAUCACAGAAGUGGAUGAUGAAGGUGCACCAAUUGCUCCCCCUUCUGUGUGUACGACAUUUUUCAAUCAAUGUGGGUUUGUUGUUCGGGAAAACAUCCCCAUAAGCAUUAAAAAAUGGAGAGCAACCACACGUACUGAUGCAGCUGAAGAUAUGGUCCCUGAGCGAGAGAAAGAAAUAUGUUGGCAACAGUUGAUACUGCACUUCACAUAUUCAGAAGUAAAAGAUAAAGAACUGAAGGUAUAUUCCUUUAGGAAGAUGGAAAUUGCUUUCGAAAUGUUCAAGAGAAACUUGGACAAAGAUUUUAUCAAGAAGGGCAUCAAACCAGAUUUGGAGAAAAAGUACCAAAAGCUACGACCUUAUUGGGAACCAUUCAAGCAAUACAAGUUGUCGGAAGAUGCCAAAAUGCGAGCUCAAAAAGCCAAAGAUAAUGCAAACAGAAAGAAACACUUUCAUCAUCUUGGCCAAGGAGGUUAUAAGAUGGUGAUGCUCAAAUGGCAGAGGAUAGAAGCUAACCUAAUGACAAGAGGAAUCGUGCCAGCAACUCUCGAUUGGCCAUUGAAAGCAAAGAACUUUUUCAACGGUCAUAGCAGCACAUUAAAUAGGGAAGAAGGAUCGUUUAUUACUAGAGAUUCAUUAAUGGCAGAAGUCACUAGGUUGGAAGCUACACUAAAGGCUAAACGGCAAGGAACUUUUAAGCCUGACAAAGAGAAAGAUGAGCUGACUUAUGCACUUGGGAAUCUGGAAGACACUGGAUGUGUCCGAGCCAUAGGUGUACUUCCAUGGAAGAAAGGCUUUAGUGAAGAUAUCAAGUCUUAUAGAAGUCCAAGAAGAAGCAAGGUCGUAGCAGAAGAGAAUAUGCGUAUCCUAGAAGAACAAGUAGCUUCGACUAAUGAAAGAAUGGAUCGGCUGCAAGAGGCGUUAGCACUUAGCCAAGCAGGAGCUGCAUCAGGUGCUAAUGUGGACAUAAUAAACCAAGCUUCCCAGCAUUGUAGCAGUGUCGCUUCCACAGAGUUCCAACCAGAAUAAUCAUCUGACAUGGUUGCGGGCAACAAACAACACUACCCCAUAGAAGACAUCACUGUGAGGACCCCAUGUGAGCUUCUUACUCCGGUGAGGAAAACAAUCAAAUUAGUGGCUCAUGGUAUUGCUGAAGUACCAGUACCAGGCAGACAAAUUAUGGCGUGGAGAUUCCUGAAGGAUAUGCUAGAGUCUAGAUUGACUGAGUGGAAACAAAGUACCGGUACCAGGUAGGCAAUUCAUGGCGUGGAGAUUCUUGAAGGAUAUGCUAGAGUCUAGGUUGACCGAGUGGAAACAGGAUGGGAAGACCUGGGCCUCGAGAUCCUUGGAGGCGAUGGUGAAACGGAACUAGGACACGCCAUCCGCACUUGGAUUUGUUGGGCCAGGGGCUACAUAAGGUUUCCGCAAGCAGACAUAGUUCCCGCAUCAUCCCCUCAGAGGUCAAGGCACAAGUCACUAAUGCCACCAUCCAGGGAUGCACCAGCUACAAUGAACCAAAGCAUGAGUCCAUCAUCCCCACUAGCUACAAGGGACCAAAGCAUGAGUCCAUCGUUGCCUCAACCUCCACUUCCUAAAAAGAAAAUCAUGAAUGCUUCGAUCCUGCCACCUCCUAAGCAGAAGAAUAACCCACAUCCUAAUAAAGCAAAGCCUACACCUCCAAAGUUGGCAUAUGAACUAACAGAUGUGGAAUGCCACUGGAUAUCUAUGGCUGAGGUUGCUACUCACUUUGGGUGAAAGAAGAAGCCUAAGACGAAGCAACGAAGAAAUACUUUAAAUCCCUAGUGGUUAAAAAAGUGGUGAAAGAACCAUGUCAGACUAUGACUGCUCAAUCACAAAGUCAUAUCAGAAGAAAAAAAGAUCAGGGUCCACCAUUCCCCAGCUUGGAGAAUAGUCCUUAUAAUUGGUCGAUCUACUCAAAGUGCUUUCAAAAGAAGAUGAGGUUUUGGCUGAAUUUAUUGCCUCCAUCAAUCUCAAAAAAGCUUAACUCCUAGGGGAGGACUAUAUCCCAAAUCACCUAGGGGCUAGUAAAUGGGAGUUUAAGCUAGAGGAACCUCUUCUGUGGCCACUGUUGGACGAUCCCCUACCAACAAAAAUGUAUGCAUUUCAUAACUGGUGCAUGGAGGCAGCUGCAGAUGCAUGGAUCAUGUUCAUUGCUCGGGUUCAAGAUCGUGAUUACUUUCGAGGGUCAGAUGACAUAUGGAUUGAGUUUGACAGUCUUUAUUACUUGUACCUUCAAGAUGCCCUUGACAAGUCCCUCAUUGGUGCAUGGUUCUAUAAGUAUUUGAUCUCAUUUCUAAAUCCUAGCUCCUACAUUAGUUGUGCGCUAUCUCAUCCCAUAUUUUAUUUUGUAUCAUGCAUAAUGGAGAUUCAACAUUGCUAUAGAAAACAAUACUAUAAUGUCGGAUUCAUGGACCCGCACGUUAUAAAUGAGGAAUGCUUAAUGAAAUGGCGAAAUCGGACCAUGAAGACUAUUUUCAACUUCAUGGGUAAGCAACAUCACAUGCAAUUUAUACUUUUGCCGUACAACUUUUAGUGAGUCAUUCAUCCCUUUUCUCAUUCGUUCGAAACUAAUAAUAAGUAUAUUUAACAUUAUGUGGCGGAACCGUCCAACUUAAACUGGUUUAAAUGCACCUAAUCGCUGCCGAUGCAGCAAUUAUCCGAAACGCACUUAAAACAGUAUAAGUUCAGUCGUCCGUCGAGUGUCCCUAGGACUCCUCGAAAGAUCCAUGUCGUGUCUCAUAGCCAUACACCAGGAUUGUUUCCGUGAUGGGAAAGCAUCAACAAAUAUUACAUUUUUACAUACAUACACGAGAUACGAGUUAUUACAAGACAUAGUUUGAAAUAAACUUAACAGUGCAGGUUAGACAGAGGUUCUAGGAUUUUAAACAUAAAUGGUUCAGGUGGGAGAUGAGCAUUUAAGAUUUCUUCUAAGGGUAUUGUGAGACUCAUAACAAUACCCUAGUUUUUCGGGGCUUCCUCCUCGGUGGAUUCCGGCGGUGCCUCUGAAAAUAGCCACAAGGGAUAAUCCUGAGCACGAGGUACUCAGGAAGGCUUACCCGACUAACCAUUAUAAUAGCUUUUCUUGGAACUACAUGAUAGCUUUUUCAGUGUACUUGGCUGACACAUUUUUGUCAAAAGAGCUUACUAAAAGUGAGACCUUAGCUUUAUCUUUUAUUUUGAUUAAGUUAUUACCUAACCAUUCUAAAUGAUGAUAAAAAGUUUAAUUGCAAACAACAAGGUAUUAAGUCAUACAUCAAACAUUAGUGGAAAGAUAUAGCAUUCAUGAAUUUAUGCUACGAUGCUCAACAGUGAUCAAGUGCAUUCAUAACCGAGAAUUGUGGCGAUCCGGAUCAAAUUACAUCAUGCAGGAGAGUACCCUGAUCACCAGUUAUAUACGACUGUCCAAGUCGUACGUAACAACUUUUCGAUUAGCAAAACCAAUGAUUGGGAAUAAGACUACCCGGACCGAGGGACGCACCCCCACAUGGGACCCCACGUCUGGCCUGAUCACCAUGUGAGUUUCAGGCUAUGCCCCUGCCAAUCUCCAGCACGUCAAGUGCGGGUACGAAGUAUUCCCGAUCAGAGGGUUUACUAACCUACUGGGCUUUACUGGUCCCAUACCCAGUAAGUGAUCAGAUGUCUUUCACUUGAUCAAAGGUUAAGACAACGAAUCGGGCCUUAACCAAAUUAAUCUAGCAGACAGAACUACAUCCUUAGCUUCUGUCCGCUCCCUAACUUCCAAGUUAUCUUUCCAUAAAUAACAUGCAUGACUCAAUAUUUACCUUAAGGUUCAGUAAGCCAAUUAUUUAAGCAACUAAGCAUUUCUAGACUUGGGUUAAUUACUAAAUGUUUGAACAAGUGGCAAAGAUGUCCUUAAAACAAGAUAUGAUAAUGCACAAGAAUGAGUUUCAAGCAACUCCUAGACCUAGUGCAUUCACAUAACAAUAACCGAUAAUUGGACACAUGAAAUAUCGACUCCAAAAUAAUAGGUAUAAUGCACCGGGGCUUGCCUUGUUCUAUAAAAAAGUUAGCACUGUCUGAAGGAUUGGCCUCGUAGGGAACCAACUCAAUGAUUUCUUCGAACUCCGGAGAUCCUUCUGAAAAUUCCGAGAAAUCCCCUUCCGGUGCUUCGGUGUCUAUGACAAAACAUAUGUAGGGGUUAGGAAUGCAACUUUUUGAAUACAAGACUAUACAACUUCCCUUCAUGAUAAAGUUGCAAGCCAACAAGGACUAUACAAUUUAUCAUGAUAAAGUUGCAAGCCAACACACAAAAACCCGAAAAGAUUAACCCAACAAAUUUUAUUUUCUUUACUAACCUUACCUAAGGCUCUUUCUUUUAUUUUUAGAAAACGUUAUAAUUAUUUUCUAGCCUUAAAACCUAAUUUCCUAUGAGUUAACAAUAAUUUGUGAUUAUGAAAUGUUAUUCCAUAUUUUCUGUAUUUACUAAAGAUUAUGUAUUUAUUUAAAUACCUUAAAAGAAAGGCAUUAAAUAAAUACCCAAAUUUUUAUUAUUUUUCCUAGGGUAUAAAAAUUUUAAUGCAUAAAGAAAAAUAAAACAAUCCUAACAAAAUUGGUUUCACUAAUUUUGGACACCCCUAGAAAUUUCUGUGAUUUAAAUGGUGAGAUUCGGAUUUAAUCUAUUUAUUCUACAAAGGAAAUCUAAAUUUUUCCCGAAAAAACUCCUCGGCCUACUUUUCUCACACGCCCUAACUCUACCCCCUCUCUAUUACGCUGGGCCCGCGGCUCGGACCCACCCCCUUCUCCUAUUCAUCCCACCCGCCGGCCUCUUAUACCUCUACUAGGCCUAUUGGGCUGUUUUUCUUUUUCUUCUCCCUUUCUCAAAACCGGCGACGGCCCGACAGCCCAUCUCUCCUUUUCCUUCUCUUCCACGAAGUCGGCCUGCUGGACCACCUGGGCCUCCGGCCUUUUCCUCCAACGGCCCUUCCCCGCACCGGUAUUUGGGCCGACUGGACUCUCGGUCCACUUAAGCCAUCGCCCGGCCUGCCUCCUUCCUCUCCUCUCCUCCCUGAUGCGCGGGCUCGCGGCACCAGAGCCUUCUUCCUCCUCCCGCCAAAACUCGAGCGUGACAGGGGCGGUGCGGCUCGCCGGCCGGCACCCUACCGGCGAUGGGGCUAGGCCGGGGAAGCAUCCCCAUGCCCUAGCGCACCCGUACGCGGCGGUAACUCCCCGGGAGGUGGCCGGAGCCACUCCCUCCACGGCGGCGGGCGGCGGCGCCUACGGCCGGUCGUGGCUAAACACGACGACAGCUCGUCCUACCCCGACAACUUCCUCUACGGCUUCCUAGUGCCCCGAGGACUCGCCUACGACUACCCACACGGAACGAAAACGAUGGCAAGGAGGUGCUCACCGUGAGCAGGAGGUGCGGCGGUGGCGGACGGAAACGACGGCGAUGUAGGGUAUGCCGGCGGAGAGGCGGGGCAACAAGCUGGUAGAGUUGUCGGUGGGGUGUGUGUGGAGGUGUUGAUGGAAGGAAUCGACAAGAGCUGCGGUGUGGUGGGGCAAUUUGCUCGGUGGUGGCGGUGUGACAGAGAGGACGGCGGCGGUAAAAAGGACCGACGAUGAAAGUGGCGGCGGGAGCGGUAGAUAUAUGAAGUUUUACCGUGCGCAUGGUCGACACCGUGACCUAGCUAGGGACUUGCGUGGCGCGGAGGUGGCCUAGAUGUCGAGCUGGACAGCGGCAGAAGCACCAGCGGCGACACGUCCUGCUUGCUCUGUCACCCCCCCCCCUCUUUUGUUUCUGAUGCCCGAAAAUUCAGAGCUCAGCCACGGUCAAAAUUGCAUCCGACAGUCCACAAGUUGCUUAAGCAAAGUUGUAGAUAAACAUGAGCUCUACAAGUUUUAUUUUUGCUCUGACCCGAGAUAAACAUCCUAACAUAGUCGAAUUUUGAAUUCUUUCCCUCAUCUAACUGAAUUACUCUGAAACUUGAAGUUCAGUUCGUCAGUCAUUUGACAUGGCCAUGUACCCAUCUGUUAAUUCACUUUCAGUGCACCAAUUCCAUUCUUCUGAGUCCAACUUCCAUCCAUUUGUGUUCUACAACUUCCAAAGAUUCCAUUUUGCCCAUAAACACCUAUACCCUUUGUUGACGCCGGAUUUCGUCAUCAGUAGAAUCGGCGCCAAAGAAGAAAGAAAUCGAAGGAGUACGGAUGGGAAUCGGCCAAAAGGUGCUACAGUGCGGAAUCGGUCAAGUGGCUUUUACUUCGCUUCAGGGUGAAUACGCCAGGUUCCCAAUCGGCAAUCCUUUGCUGAUAAGAAACCGGCCGAUCAGGAAGGUGGACUAAGGUGGGCCUGUAUGGGCUUGGAAAGAUGGAGGGAUAAGGUGGAGUUCAGCCCACGAAGCGUGGGGUAAUUAGUUUAGCACGGAUUGUGCUUGUAGAUAUUUGUUUUCUGUUUGAAUUAGAGAUAGAGUCCUAGUCGGUUAAGAAGAUUAUUUGUACGGGGCUAUAAAUAGCUACCUUUGUAAAUCUGUAAGAAACAAUCAAUCAAUACAACAAGUUACUUUAUUCUUCGUACUUACUGUCAAGCAGGCGACUUCGCCAUUACUUUUCCUUCUCACGAGUUCGUGCGGGUUGGCAGGGCUGCAUCAUCUUGAUCUCCGGCCGAUUCUGUAAGUUCCGUUUAUCGAGUAAUAUCUAAGCUUUAACUUCUGGCGCAUCGCUGUCGUUUCGUUUAGAUUUAUUCAUCAGUUAUCGAUAUCGACUAGGUUCAUAGGUUUUUACCUGUUUUUCUAGUUUUUAUCACCAGUUAUCCUGCUAGGAAUCGGUAGUAUCGGCUUUUCUUUGCUUUCUGCAGUUAGAUCCAUUCGUUGCCGAUUAGAUCUUUUCCUAGUACUGUUUUCAUAAGCUUUGUACCGAUUGCUUUAGUAUUUAUCUGUUUACGAGGCUACAGGGAUCGUGCUGUCUUAUAGCCGAUUUCAUCAUCACAGUAAAUCGGCCGAUCUGCCGAUAAGCUAUCUCGAUCGGAAACUUAGCCGAUCACGGUUACUGAAUUUAACACGUGUUCUUCCUUGCCAAUCAACAGGUCAGAUUGGCUGGCACGCCGCGCGAACCGCACCAGGGCAUUCACCCGAACAGGAGCUAAGCAGAUUCUCCCGGGUCGUGUGUCGGUCGCUGGGAUUCGGUUGACCGAUUUCUAGCGCCAACACACUUUUGGCACGCCCGGUGGGACCAUUACAACCGCCGUCAUGUCGAAAGCUGCUGAAGUCUCCGAAGAUAACGUCAUCGAAGUGACGGAAGCAGAUCUAAAGGAUGACCAAAAAGAAGAUCUGAAUCAGUAUUUGGAGCAAGUCCGGAAAACUUGCUUGAAAUCCUUCAGUCGUUCCAGGAGCGGGGAAACUGUUAAAAAGUCUCCUUUCCCUACUCCCCGCCAGAUCACAAUUUCAAAAGAUUCGGAUAAAAUGUCCGAUAUGAUUCAACAAUCUCUUCAUCACGCCUUCAUCAACCAAUCCCCGGUACUUUCAAACAUGGUGCACAAUGCUGUUGUCAACUCCUUCACCGGGGGUAUACCUCAAGGGUACAGGGGACCUACGUAUUUUCAGCCGAUUCCACCAAAUCAGGCUUAUCAGGUUUCACAGCCGAUCCAAUCUUCAGUAGGAGGAUCUAGUGCUUCUACGUCAUCAACUCCUUUGGAAUACGGCUCCAUCCGGCCGUCCUCUGCACCACUCCCUCCAGUCAUCCCUUUACCCUGGGGGGCACCCAUACACACGACCGGUUUGAAUCAAUCGGUCAGCCAAGGGAAUUCUCCGUUCCAGAUACCCUCCCAAACGGCCACUCGGCCGAUUAUACCACCAUACCAGCCUAUUGCUCCGGAGGUCAACAAGACGUCAGAGCUCAUGCUAUAUGAUGAAACAAGUGGUGCCUACAAGCAGCCGUCCUUUACUACACCACCGGCUUAUACUCAGAUACCACCUUUUCAUCAACCUCCUUUUAUUCAACCUCCGAUUUAUCAGCAUGUGCCGAUCCCACCGCCAACUAUUCCCCAGCAACAACCAGAUUGGUCGGCGCAAAUCGCGGAGGUAAUGCAAGAACAAUUCGGCCUAAAACCGAAGGUGCAAACGUAUACCUACAGGACACCAUACCCAUCUACGUAUGACUUGUUGCCGUUUCCCCAUCGAUACAAAGUUCCUGAUUUUACCAAAUUUUCGGGGAUGGAUGAUACUUCCACCGUGGAACAUGUGAAUAGAUUCAUCAUCCAAUGCGGGGAGGCAGCCACGCAAGAUGCCCUGCGGGUACGGUUGUUCUCGUCAUCCUUAUCUGGAUCGGCCUUCCAAUGGUUCACCACCUUGCCACCAAACUCAAUUAUCACAUGGGCCGAUCUAGAGAGACAAUUCCAUAAGUACUUCUAUGCUGGGGUCCACGAAAUGAAGCUGUCCGAUUUGACUAGCCUCCGGCAAAGAAGUGAUGAGCCGAUACCCUCAUACAUACAGAGGUUUCGGGAAAUCAGGAACAAAUGCUACUCCUUGGCUCUAAACGAUGCGCAGUUGGCCGAUAUAGCUUUCCAAGGCCUGCUGCCACACAUUAAGGAGAAAUAUGCUUCACAAGAGUUCGAGAGCCUGAGCCAGAUUGUCCACCGAUUGUCCGGGCAGGAGGUGCGUCCAUUCGAUCCAAGAAGAAAUUUCCAGAAGAAAGUGGCGUUUCUGGAAGAAUUAGAGGAUGAAGAAGACGCCGACAUCGGACUCGCAGAGUGGAUUAAAGGAAAGAAACCAAUAUCAUGCCCAUUCGGCAAAAAGGAGCCGGAAGCAUUUGGUUUCGACACAACUAAAGCUGACAAAAUCUUCGAUCUUCUACUCCAGGAAGGACAAAUUAAACUCUUGCCUUACCACACGAUACCCUCUGCCGAACAAUUGAAGAAGAUGAAGUAUUGCAAGUGGCAUAACGCCACAUCACAUGAUACCAACGAGUGCAAAAUCUUCAGGCAACAAAUACAGUCGGCCAUUGAGCAAGGCAGACUCAAAUUCGAAGUGCCGGCAAAACCGGCCAAACCAAUGAAGAUUGAUCAACACCCUUUUCCUACCAACAUGGUGGAUACGGGUAAGAAGCCCCUCCAAACAAAAGUGCUGACGUCCGAAUCGGCAAAAAGGAGCGGCUCUGUCGACCCCAGAAAUCAAUUUACGCCCGAAGACGUCAAAGGGAAACGGCGAAUGGAGGACGACGAUGGUGAGUCUGAUAAACCACGUAUUACUUCCCAGUUCCUGCUCCAAAAGUACCAACGCCAACAUGAACGAUCGAGGUCCCGAGAGGAAGCAAUGCGUCGGCACGAAGAACACUGGAGAUGCCCAUUCUUCAUCCAUUGUUGGGAAAAUAACCUCAGGCUUCCAUCAGCCGAUACUUGCCCAGAGUGCAACGGUCCCUAUCGAAGCAAUCGGCCGUUCACAAGGUCUCGCUCCAGAGACGGAAGGCCAGAACCGAUCAGCAGGAAUCGGCGCAACCCAGAUGAUCAGCGCCCUUCCAUGCGUGAUCGGCUGGGGGGCAGAAGUGACCGAUAUGAUCGGUCAGAAGAUAGAAGCCAUAAUAGGCAGGGGGGCAGGACCGAUCGACACGAUCAAUCAAGUGGCAAAGCCAGCGUUCACAGUCGGCUCCAAGACAUGGCCGAUGCACGGGUAACAGACGAGGACCCGUUAGGACGCGAGCCAGAAUGGGAACGCGCCAGGAAAGAAGGGAGGCCAAUAAACCCCAGAUGGUGUCCCGAUGGUUUGACCAAAUCACAAAAACGAAGAGUCCAACGCCUCCGCCAAUGGGAACAGCAAGAAGAAGAAAGCGCGAUGGACAAGAAGGAAAGGAGGCCUCGGGUAUGGCGCCCCAAAGGAAACAACAAGGGCAACGAUGAAUCGGCGGGUGAUGAAUCGGCAGCCGAAAUCGGUAUGGUUUUCAUAUUGCCGAUGGAGUUUAUGACCCCUGCCGAUCAACAGAACGUGUCGGCAAUAGAGGAACAAACAACACGGUUGGCUUUAGAACCAAUGAUGGCCACGUUCGAAAAGCCUGAAGACGACGAACGACAGCAUAUGAAGGCGUUGUUUCUUAAAGGGCAUGUUGACGGUUGCCCCCUCACUAAAUUGAUGGUCGACGGGGGAGCCGCCGUCAACAUCAUGCCGUAUGCCGUACUCCGAAAGCUGGGAAAGAGCGACGACGACCUAACCAGGACGGACAUGAUGCUAAAGGACUUCGAAGGCAAGGUGUCAAACGCUCGCGGUGCCCUCUGCGUCGACCUCACCAUCGGCAGUAAGACCCUUCCUACCACGUUUUUCGUCAUUAAUGGCAAAGGGUCCUAUAAUAUGCUUCUUGGCCGAGACUGGAUACACGCAAACUGCUGCAUCCCGUCAACUAUGCAUCAAUGCCUAGUACAAUGGGUCGGCGAUAACAUCGAGGUGGUCAAAGCCGACUCCGCGUACAGCAUCGCAGCAGCCGACGCACAGCAAUGGAGCUGCGAAACCGUCAGGUGCAUAUCAGGUAGGGUGUGGGAAACCGAUUUCCUGAAGGUCACCGAUUUUGGCCUACAGCCGAUCCGAGCAGUCGGCUCCGAAGAAGCGCAAUAGAUGGAUCAGUUCGCCCGAGAAGACGGGAAGCUGGGACACGGAUUCACGUCGGCUGAUUCAUUGGAGAUGGUAGAUUUAGGUGACGGAACCAAACCAAGGCCGACUUUUAUUAGUGCAAAUUUAGAUCCAGAGUACAAAUGUAAAUUGACAAAUUUAUUGAGAGAAUUCAAGGAUUGUUUUGCUUGGGAGUAUCACGAGAUGCCCGGAUUAGAUCGGUCUAUUGUUGAACAUCGGCUACCCAUAAAACCAGGGUAUCGGCCGUACCAACAACCCGCACGGCGAUGCAAUCCUAAAAUUUUACCAGACAUAAAAGCCGAAAUAACUCGGCUAAUUGAAGCAAAAUUUAUUCGGCAGUGUCGUUACGCUGAGUGGAUUUCUAAUAUCGUACCGGUGUACAAGAAAAACGGGAAGCUCCGCGUUUGCGUUGAUUUCAGAAAUCUUAAUCAGGCCACACCGAUGGAUGGUUACCCCAUGCCUACGGCCGAUGUACUGAUCGACGCUGCCGCGGGGCACAAAAUUAUUAGCUUCAUGGAUGGAAACGCCGGAUACAAUCAAAUACUUAUGGCCGAAGAGGAUAUACCCAAAACGGCUUUCAGAUGUCCAGGCCAUCUUGGUCUAUUCGAGUGGGUGGUGAUGACUUUUGGCCUGAAGAAUGCUGGUGCUACAUAUCAGAGAGCCAUGAACUACAUUUUUCACAGACUCAUUGGCCUCCUGGUGGAGAUCUACAUCGAUGAUGUUGUGGUCAAGUCCAAAAGCCACGAGGAACACCUAGCCGAUUUGCGACAGGUGCUAGAGUGUACUAAAAAGCAUGGUCUCAAGAUGAAUCCCAACAAAUGCGCUUUCGGCGUUUCCGCCGGACAGUUCUUAGGAUUCAUGGUACACGAACGAGGUAUAGAAGUCAAUCAGAAGACCAUAGCGGCCAUCAACAAAGUCGUCACUCCACAGAACAAAACUGAGCUACAGUCUCUAAUCGGCAAGGUAAAUUUCAUCAGAAGGUUUAUAUCUAAUCUAUCUGGACGGAUUCAGGCGUUCACACCACUUCUGAAGUUGAAGCCAGACCAGGAAUUUAUAUGGGGAGACGAACAACGCAAGGCGCUAGAAGACAUAAAGCGAUAUUUGGUCUCACCCCCAGUCCUGGUUCCCCCUCAAACGGGUAAGCCGUUUAAACUAUAUUUAUCAGCCGAUGAAAAAGCUAUUGGGUCGGCUCUAGUCCAAGAGUUUGAAGACAAAGAACGGGUAAUUUAUUACGUUAGUAGAAGACUCCUGGAUGCCGAAACAAGAUAUCCUCCAGUGGAGCGUUUGUGUUUGUGUCUUUACUUCUCGUGCACCAAACUCAGGCACUAUCUACUGUCGGCAGAAUGUAUAGUCGUAUGCAAAGAUGAUGUAGUAAAAUACAUGCUGUCACUGCCAAUAUUGAAAGGGCGAAUCGGUAAAUGGAUCUUAGCUUUAUCAGAGUUUGACCUACGGUAUGAAUCGGCAAAAGCCGUCAAGGGUCAAGUCAUGGCCGAUUUCGUCGCCCAACACUGUGGGCCGGAGAUCGCCUUCAUGGAACUAGCGCCUUGGCAGUUAUUUUUUGAUGGGUCAUCAUGUGGAGUCGGAUCAGGAAUCGGCAUCGUUCUCAUAUCGCCUCGGGGGGCAAGAUAUGAUUUUUCUCUGCCGAUAGAAACCGCCGCCACAAACAAUCAAGCGGAGUACAGAGCCGUAUUAAAAGGCUUACGAUUACUGAAGGAAGUCAAGGCCGAUUCUGUUGAGGUCUUCGGAGAUUCGAUGCUAAUUGUGGAUCAACUAACCGGAAGGGCUGAGUGCAAAGACGACAUAUUACGAAUUCAUCACGAAGAUUGCUUACAGCUUUUAAAAGAAUUCAGAUCGGCAACAAUCGAGCACGUCCCAAGAGACCGCAACGAGGAAGCAAACAAACUCGCUCAACACGCAUCUGGGUAUCGGUCGAUUCCGGGCGCCAUGGCCUUAGAGCUUGCAGCCAACGAUUGGCGUAAGGAAAUUGCCGACUACCUAAAAGAUCCGUCUAAAAAGGUGGAGCGACGAGUGCGCUUUCAUGCUACCAAAUACGUGUUGCUCGAAGAUGAUCUGUUCUACCGAACGAUCGAUGGUGUUCUUCUUAAAUGCCUUGGGACAGAAGAAGCCAAGACUCUAAUGGGGGAAAUCCAUGAAGGGGUAUGCGGAGCUCACCAAUCAGCACAUAAGAUGAAGUGGAUGAUCAGAAACAACGGGUACUAUUGGCCUACGAUCCUCGAAGACUGUUUCAAAUAUUAUAAGGGUUGUCAGGAGUGUCAAAAGUUCGGGAAUAUCCAACGUGCACCCGCGUCGGCCAUGAACCCCAUCGUCAAAACCAUGGCCGUUCCGAGGGUGGGGAAUAGAUCUUAUUGGCCAAAUUUAUCCACCAUCGAGCAAGGGGCACAAGUUUAUUCUGGUUGCUACUGAUUACUUCACCAAAUGGGUGGAGGCAAUCCCACUAAGGACCGUGACGUCGGCUAUCAUGGCCGAUUUCGUAAGGGAUCACAUCGUCUACCGAUUCGGUAUCCCUCAGACUAUAACAACCGAUCAAGGAACAAUGUUCACAUCGGGAGAAUUUGAGGAAUUUACGACCGAUAUGGGCAUCAAAUUACUAAAUUCUUCUCCGUAUUACGCUCAGGCCAAUGGUCAAGCAGAAUCUUCCAACAAAGGAAUAAUCAAGUUGAUCAAAAGGAAGGUUGAAGAGUAUCCAAAGAAGUGGCACCUAUGUUUGACCGAAGCCCUCUGGGCAUACAGAAUGGCCUGUCAUGGAGCUACCAAGUUAUCUCCCUAUCAGUUGGUAUACGGUCACGAUGCAGUACUUCCAUGGGAAUCAAGGGCAGGAUCAAGGCGCAUUUCACUUCAGGACCAGUUGUCGGCCGACGACUACUCGGCACUGAUGAAGGAAGAACUUGAUGAUGUGGCCGGUCAGCGACUAAGGGCCCUGAUAAGUAUCGAAGAGAAUAAAAAGAGAGUGGCCAGGUGGUACGAUAAAAAGGUCUAGGUCAAGCAGUUCUCCCCCGGAGACUUGGUGUGGAAGUUGGUACUACCGAUCGGGUCCAAAGAUCCUAAAUUCGGCAAAUGGUCUCCUACCUGGGAAGGGCCGUAUAAAAUCGGCAGAUGCGCUCCAGGGAAUGCUUAUAUCUUAGAAACAAUAGAAGGAGAAGAAUUCACUAGAGCUCUGAAUGGGAGAUACUUAAAAAGAUAUUACCCAAGUAUAUGGGUCGGGGCCUAAGGAAUCAACAUAAUCAUACAUGACCGAUACUAUUCGGUUUCAAGAUAUACAUAAAGUCGACCGGAAUAGCCGAUUACAUGCAUUCGGUACGGGCGACAGAUUACAUGGCCGACAAAACACUAAGUCGCCCUUAGCACAAAAAAUAUAAAAAAACGAACUAAUUGUUCUUCUUCUGGGAUGUCUUGUCAUUCUUCUCCGACUCAGCUCGAAGGCGCGAGGCCUCUGCCGCUGCAAGAAUGACGGGCCGAGGAAGCAGGCGAACCCGAUCGGUAGACCGCUGGCCGCCAUUCCUUUCCAAGAAGCCCAGGAUCGUGCGGGCUGCCGAAGCGACGUCAUCUCCAGGAGUGUCACGGUAACGACCCCUCAUGACUAAAGAUCGGCGACGGCUUUCGUUCACCACGGCAUCCAAGACUACACGGGCAUCUGCAGUAAUGUGGUCUUGGAGCUCCUCUUGAUGAGCCAGGAUCAGAGCCUUGUCCUCCGGGGACAAAGGGUCGUCCGAAUGGAUGCACUCGAUGGCACGCACGAGCUCCGGACUAAGGCGUUGAGGCUGAAACAAAGAAGGGAUAAGGUGGCGCAUUCUUUUCCUAAGGAUCUAAGAGGAGAAGACGGAACGUCACCUGGUUGACGGAAGAGGACGAAGACGAGGCCAUGACGAAGUAGUUGCGCCGAUGAGAGAAAGAGGAAAGGCGAAAUGGGAGCCAGACCGACGCUAUCGGGAGGAGGUGCCGAAGUCGAUAUUUAUGGGGAGAAUACGUGGAAAUCUGAUAAAGCCACGUCCCAUCGGUAAUAAGGGAGGCAGUAAAUAGAAGACAUCGCGAAGGGUCGGUCAAAGAAGGCAGUAAAUGUUCGUACAAAGCGGUCAGUGUUUUACAGAUUACCCAAAAGGGUAUCGAUAGCCGUGAUGGCCCGACGCCGGAUCUGAUCGGCAGAGUCAAGAACCCGUUGGUCUUCUUCUGCCGAUCCAGGGACCUCCGACGCGAUGCGAUGAAGUCUCAAAGCCUCCUGAGCAAAACGCUGCCUCUCCCUGGUCAAAUCGGCAAUAGCCGAGGGUAACUCUUGAAGUUUGUUCUCUUCGGCGCUGAUUGCCUUGGUUACUUGCUCCAUCUCUUUAGCAAGGUCCGCCCUCCGUCGUUUGAGGCGAUCUAUUUCACUGAUGAUCGCCGGCCGUGAAUCUUCCAGGACAUGGAUCCGCCGAUUCGCUUCUUGGGCCUGGUGCUUGAAAGCAUUUUCAUCUUCACGGGUCUUAGCCAGUUUCGCGCGAUCGGCCAUAUGACGAAGGGCCCUGAAGACGGGAAUCCUCAUGGAUUCAAUAAAGGCCGCCGGCGCCAAGGCCUCUUCCGCUUCCUCUGGUACUCGUCCGCUGACGUCACUAAAAAGCUGCCGAAUCGGCGAAGCGUCUUCUACCAAUCGGCCGAUAUCCCCUUGAAGGAGGGAUCGGAUAUUGGUGAGCUUAGCCCGGACGUCGUCAGGGACGGAGCUUAAGGCAACUUGGCGGGAUGAGGUCUCCUCAUCAUCAGAGAGAGCGACUGCGAAGGAAAAGAGGCUGUUGUUGGGGGAGUCUUGUUCCUGAGAGAAUAAAGAACACGCGUGAAUCGGCAGGGGAACGGAACAAAUCGGCUGUUUGAAAGCUGGUUAAAGAAUUUACCAUUUUAAAACGAAUUUCUUCGUGCUGCGCGGGUAAAGCCGUUAUGUUUUGAUCAGUGGCCUGUACUGUAGGUUCGUCCGAUGAAGAGGACUCUACAAUAAUCGGCACGGUGCUCGGACCAGCUCCCUGGGAAGAAAUCGGUUGUCGAGAAACGCUUGGUGUGCCGAUGGUCUGCGUCGAGGAAUCGAUUAAACAUGUUAUGCAAAUACCCGAAGGGAGUCCAUAAGAUAAGUACCAUACCUCAACGGAUGAAGGCAGGGGCACGUUGGCAUCCGGUCGAGUUGUCGCCGACUGUGGCAUUUCCAUAGAGGAACCCUAAGAAGCACAAAGUUGACAAGAGUUAAUACCGAGUUGACGAAUCGGAAAUGGCAAAGCUUGAACUCACUUGUAAAGCUUCCAGCAGUAGUGAGGCGGCAGCCGCUCCGGCUUGUGUAAUGGCUUGAGUAUCAGCACUCUGUGUGGCCUGGGGCGGUGCAGUCAAGAUUUCUGCCGACGCGGGCACAGGAGGGUCCGCCGAUUCCGUACGAGCCCGAACUCGGCGACUGGUUUUCUUGACGACCUUCUUGUGAACUUUCUUCGAUCGGCCAGCAAUCAUGUCAACUGACGGAGCGUCGUAGCCGAUAAGAGGAUAAGUGGUGUACGGAUAGCUCUCUAUUAGCCGACCACUGCGGCUGUGCGUUGGAGGGGCUUGGUUCCCGGCCUAAAGGAACAAUGAAAUCAUUAGUGCUCAAUUGAGCUGAAGAGAAUAAAGUCGGUAAUCAGAAAAUACCUCGGCGUUAGGAUCAAUGUUGGCCGGAUCUAGAAGAUUGCAGUAUGCCGAUGCUGAAUUGCAGAAUAAGAAUUGCUUCCAUUCGGCCCACCAAAGCUUGAAAGGCUGGAUGGCAAAUGGAUAUAACAGCCAUUCAUUCAAAUUAAUCGUACUGGAGUCCGGAAUUCGGUCUCGCAGCCGACAAUAAUCCAGGCCAGUUUUAAGCACUUCUCUGAACUUAAUUCGGCCAGCAAAAUACACCCGUAUCGGCAAUUGACCCAUGCCGAAUUGUCGAGCAGCAGUAGAUGGGUUGUAGAACUCAUAUGUAGGGGCAUUUUUCCCCGAAAAGAAGUUGGCCGGUAAGAGUCCUGGUUUGAUCAAUUCCUCAUAAAGAUUUUCAUCAAACCGGCCAGAAGUCGAGUCGAAGCAAGAGGGGAGCUCGAAGACUGGGAUAUCUCGCUGGUAUGGAAACCAGAUAGUAGCGUCCUCAUUGAAUCCAUUAUAGAAGCACCGAAAGUACUCGGCUACUUUUGUAACAGAAUACGCACAACCUGGAAAAGCUGACGCUGCUUCACCAUAAGACAUGCAUCGGCGACGCUCGGUAGGGUCUUCCGCCGAUUCAAUAUUGGGGAACAUCAUGAGGUCCACUGGCUGCCGGGUGAUCCUGCUCAUAUAGAGAUUCAACCAUAGAUUAACGAACCACCAAGGUCCACCUGGGUUGCCGAUUGGUUCUCUCUUGGAAAGUUUUGUGCCGAUUUGGUGAAGCAUGUGGUACACUGCACCCAGAAGAUGUUUCCCGAGAGGAAUGUGGCUUCCUUUGGACAAUGCCUCGGCUAAGGAUUGGGUGUUGGUUGUUGGGCCGGCGGCUCUUCCACAGAAAAGGUAAUUUUCUAGCCACAUCAUCAGGAAAGCGGUGUGCUCCCUAUUAUCAACAGUACCGGUCUUCUUGUUGUCACUAAUAAAGCCCUUCCAACCGCCGAUUCCUCUUGUGUCCAGCCGAUGCGACGGUACGGUCAGAAGUUGGAAAGGCGUGUCAGGGGAGGAUAUGUCUAAGCCGGUCAAGAGGACCACAUCGGCCAGAGUGGGGGUCAUAGGACCAUGUCCAAAUAAGAACGCAUUGAGUGCGUCAGACCAAAAAUAAGAAGCUGCCAUCACUAGCGGCUCAUUUUUCUCCAUUUGCGACAGGGAAAGGUUGAUACAUUGGCCGAUUUUGAGCUCAUCCCAUGAGACGCUCCUUGACGCGGCCACCCGUUGGUACCAUUCCCUCCAACCUGGGGUUUCAUUCGGCCAGGAUCUAAAAGUGCUGGCCCAUUGAUUUAAGUUCAUGUCGGACCGUUUGAAAGGUAUCCGAUCAGUUUCCGAAUCUAUAAGAAUCGCCGGAUCUGGGUUUCCCAUGGGACCAAGGCAAACAAGGCCAGGACUAUCCGUGAGGUGAAUGGUAAUUCUAUCUCUAACCGCCUAAAAAGGAAAAGGGGGCAUAGGAAUGUAAGGAGUAGAUCUGAAAUAUUGCCGAUAAGGAGGGGAUUCGGUAUUUACCUCCGGGAUAAAGUUCUGAGUAAUCGGCGUGGCCGCCGACGUUGGCGCGGAUGAUGGGGCUGUGAUGGGAACCGCCAUCGGGAUUUCUGAUGAAGCCCUUGCAUUUGUUGAAGAAGUGACGGUCGUCGCUACCUCCACUGGGGGCAUUGUCCCUGGAGCAUCGCGUGCUGGGGAAUUGCCGGAGGGAGUCGCCAUUGAAGGGAAAGGGGAAAGAAGUGACUGGAGCUGAAACUGGAAGACUUCGAUGGCAAGAUUGAAGAAAGAAGGAGGUGCGCGCGCUGGAAAAAGAGAUGUGAGCUUGAAGAUGAGUUGCGGUGAAAUGAUAUUUAUAGGGUGCCUGAAGAAAGGGUAAAGAUGGAAUUUUCACCGCGCCGGCGCGUCGAGUUUUUCGGGGUAGUGGCUAUCGUGGGCGCCCGUUUCAAAAAUUGCAAUGAUCAGCCGGGAGACCGCGAAACGGAAGGAUAUUUUCACUGCGGCCGUUUCGGAGGAGAGGUUAUAAAGAUUUUCGAAGUAAAAGACUAUGUUUUACUCCGAAACUGGGGGGCAUGUGUUGACGCCGGAUUUCGUCAUCAGUAGAAUCGGCGCCAAAGAAGAAAGAAAUCGAAGGAGUACGGAUGGGAAUCGGCCAAAAGGUGCUACAGUGCGGAAUCGGUCAAGUGGCUUUUACUUCGCUUCAGGGUGAAUACGCCAGGUUCCCAAUCGGCAAUCCUUUGCUGAUAAGAAACCGGCCGAUCAGGAAGGUGGACUAAGGUGGGCCUGUAUGGGCUUGGAAAGAUGGAGGGAUAAGGUGGAGUUCAGCCCACGAAGCGUGGGGUAAUUAGUUUAGCACGGAUUGUGCUUGUAGAUAUUUGUUUUCUGUUUGAAUUAGAGAUAGAGUCCUAGUCGGUUAAGAAGAUUAUUUGUACGGGGCUAUAAAUAGCUACCUUUGUAAAUCUGUAAGAAACAAUCAAUCAAUACAACAAGUUACUUUAUUCUUCGUACUUACUGUCAAGCAGGCGACUUCGCCAUUACUUUUCCUUCUCACGAGUUCGUGCGGGUUGGCAGGGCUGCAUCAUCUUGAUCUCCGGCCGAUUCUGUAAGUUCCGUUUAUCGAGUAAUAUCUAAGCUUUAACUUCUGGCGCAUCGCUGUCGUUUCGUUUAGAUUUAUUCAUCAGUUAUCGAUAUCGACUAGGUUCAUAGGUUUUUACCUGUUUUUCUAGUUUUUAUCACCAGUUAUCCUGCUAGGAAUCGGUAGUAUCGGCUUUUCUUUGCUUUCUGCAGUUAGAUCCAUUCGUUGCCGAUUAGAUCUUUUCCUAGUACUGUUUUCAUAAGCUUUGUACCGAUUGCUUUAGUAUUUAUCUGUUUACGAGGCUACAGGGAUCGUGCUGUCUUAUAGCCGAUUUCAUCAUCACAGUAAAUCGGCCGAUCUGCCGAUAAGCUAUCUCGAUCGGAAACUUAGCCGAUCGCGGUUACUGAAUUUAACACGUGUUCUUCCUUGCCAAUCAACAGGUCAGAUUGGCUGGCACGCCGCGCGAACCGCACCAGGGCAUUCACCCGAACAGGAGCUAAGCAGAUUCUCCCGGGUCGUGUGUCGGUCGCUGGGAUUCAGUUGACCGAUUUCUAGCGCCAACACCCUUUACACUAUAUUUUUCUGAAAUUUAUUCCAAACCCAGCCAUUUCUCACUGUUUCAGACUUAGGCAAUUUUGCUGUUUCAGUGACUUGGCCGAAAAUAGCAGAGUGCCAACUUUAGGCCUUAAAUUAAAUUGGUUCCCUUGGUAGUUCUUGAUCAACAACACCCCAAUUUGCUGGUCCAAAGUCCAUACUUCAGUAUUGUAUAGUUGUCUUGAUCCACUUAUUUGAAAAUUUUGACAGAAAUCAAAUCCCAAAAUGGACAUUUGUGCUGUUUUCCUGAAAUCCUGUUGUCGGACGAUGAAUAGUACAUUUCGGUUUUAAUUUCUUUCUUUGAUUUUCUUGAGGUAUUUAGGACCAGAUCUUGUCCCCAAUCUUGAUCUCCAAGUUCUAAACACUCUUAUCCCUUCAUUCCAUAUUUUUGCCAAAUUUUUCUGAAUUGCAAAUUCAAAAUUCAAAUUUUGGUCAAAUUUGACUCGAAUUUAAUUCUUAGCCAAUUUCUUCUCUUUUUCUUCAUGAUUUGCUUCUAUUUCUUCAAAAUCACUUUUGAUGGCUAAAAUAGCAAGUGUUACACAUUGCCUGUGUAUAUGAAUAGGAACAGCUUCUACUGGAUAUUACUUGUUAUCGAGAAUGAUUGAAGCCACGUCAUAGUGCUGGACCCAAAGAGGAAACCAAAAGAAGAGUACCAAAGCCUCAUAGACAUGCUUAACAAGGCAUGAGCUCGCUUCAUAAAAAGCACCCAGGACCGUUCAAGGAUCAUCUUCAUAUCAGGGAUAACUUCCGGUAUGAAUUCAAUUUGGACAUCUACUGUCAUUUCUUUAAACACCACGACUGCUUGAAUAUUUCAAAACUCCUUUUUUCAUAUAUAGUGUUUGAGAUAGGAGGAUGGAAACAACUUAUGUGGAUACUACAUGUGAGUUCAUCCACAACUUUGUAGGUCCAAAGCGAUUGAUGGCCCGGAACGAGAAGUACGCAAACACAAUUCAUAACAAUUCAUUAUUUAUCAUUCUACGCAUGUAUUGAUUUAAAAUGAUGACGUUUGCAUGUGACAGAUUUGUGACAAGAGAGAAGAACUCCUCACCCCAAAACGACUAAGGGCAAUUCAAGAAUAACUAUGUGGAUUCUUUUUGGAGGUCGUAAAUCCAAAGGGAGAAUUUUAAUACGAACGACUAAGGGAAAUUAAAUAACAACUAUGUAGAUUCCUUUUGGAGGAGGUUGUAAAUCCAAAAUAAGAAUUUUAUUACGAUGGAAAAAGUGUAGGUCAACUUCAAAACAACGUGGACUCGGAUGAUGAUGUGUAGUGCUUGUAAUAUUUGAAGUGUAUGUAAAUUGUAUAUAAAUAUAAUAUAUGUAACCUUUAUUAUGCUAGAUCAAUAUAUAUUAGCGUAAUAUUACUACUAUACUCAAACGGAUACUGUACAUGAAUACGAAUAAAAAUACGAAUUAAAACAAAAGGAAACCAAAAAAAGAAAAGAAAUAACCAUUUAGUAUCGGUCGGUAACACUAACCGGUACUAAAUAGUUGCUGACGGCAGUUUAGUACCGGUUGGUGUUACCGAUCGGUACUAAAUGGCGCACUUAGUACCGGAUAUUUUGGCCAGCACUAAAUGACGUGGCAUUUAGUACCGAACAAGCGGUACUGGUCAAGCGCCCGGUACUAAAGAGGAUUACUGACCGGUACUAGAGGUCCACGUCCAGCAAUGUUUUAACAUUUAUUAUGCUCUUGCGUUUGUAAUAGUUACAGUUACUUAAUGGUAAGCUUUUCAGAACUAUUUUUUAACCGACAGUACAUGUACUGUGCACCACUCGAUGCUUAAUAGUAACCAAUCUACAUAGCAUUUGUACAUGUUCAUCAUACCAUUCAAGCUUUUUGGUAAUUUGUGGCUCCCAACUCGCUUGCAAGCGUGUUCAGGGCCAAGACGGGGGUGGUAUCCGGCAGCGACCGGGCCAUGGCCAUCGGAGCAACCAUCAGAACCAGCAUUAUGGCCACCAGUACCACCAUGGUGCCGGCAGCCCUGUUGCCACUCUCCACAUGAUCGACUUCCUAUCGAUCUCAGUGACUAAGCGUGCUCUAAUUCCUUUGUUUAGUGUUAAUUACUAAUCUCCCAAAGAUCUCUCGUCCUUUUUAUAGGCAAACACAGUUAAACUUGAACUUAUCUGUCAUUUUCACGUGUGUUUCACGUGGGUUAUUAUAUGUAAUCAGCAUGCCGAGUAUUGGUGUAUAGCCCAUAGACGGUACCGCUGGCACUACUAGAAAACUGAGCAUUAAUCCUGAUUGGGAAGGGCCAUAUCUCUCUAAUACCUAACCGGGAUUAAUUUUUUGAGACAAAAGAAGGGUCCUUUAGUCCCGGGUAAAAGCCCUCCUUUAGUCCCGGUUGGUAUUGGUGGACUAAAAAAUUCGAAAAAAAAGCCGCACGCUCCCCACGCCCGUCGGCUGCCCGCGCCGCCACACCCACCCAACCGCCACCCUUGGCUCCGCCUUGCCGCCCUCUGCUCCGCCCGCCGCCCUCUGCCCCGCACGCUCCGCUCCGGCCGCGCCCGCUGCUCCCCCGCAUGCCAGCGCCUGAACUUGCCCCGUUGCCGCUCCUCACUGUCAGUGAGGAGCGAGCGGAGGGUGAAGGGGAGGGGAGCAGAUGGGGAGGGCGGGAGAGGAAGAGAGGUUGGGGAGCCUGAGAGGAGGAAAAGGAGGAGAUAGGAAGGAAAGAAAUGUAACACCCAAAUUCCAUAUUAAAAUAAUGUAAGCAACAUGUAAGGUCUAGAUUUUCUUUUCUAAGGACUUAAUAAAUUUCUUUAAAUAAAUCUCAGCCUUUAUAAUUUAAACAACACUUGAAAUAAUUUUAGAAUCGCCAAGUGAUUGAUAGAGUUUUUUUUCGUUUGCUUUGGUUUUUGGUUGAGUUGUGUUUCCAAAAUUUUAAUCAAAAUCUUCCUCAAACUCUCUUUUACCUCUUUCUCUAAGCCCAACCCACCCGGCCUCUUUCUCUUUCUUUUUCUGGCCCAAAUCAUCAGCAGGCCGGCCUCCUCCCGCCUCAGCCCGCCUUGCACCGACCCAUCUCCCCUUGCCAGCCCAUUUCCCUCUCUCCCCCUCUCUUCCUCACUAGCAGGUGGGCCCCACCCAUCAGGCCGUCUUCCACCUCCGACCGGAGCCGCCGCUCGGACUCCCCGCACCGCCCGCUCUGCGCCGCUCUGCCUCCGGCACCGCUUCGCCUCCCGCGCCCCCUCAUCUGCUGCGCUCGCUUCGCCUCCCGCACGAACGCCGCCUCCCCCUCUGUUUCCCCUCCCUUCAGCAGUAAUGGUUGCCUCCACCUUCACUCGCCUUCAAUGGUCGGCCGUCACCCUUUCCCCUCCCCCUGUGCCGCCUCUGCUCCCACCCUCGCCCUAUAAAGCACACCUUGCCUCCACCCGACGCCCCUCCACCCCAUUCCCACUGCCAAUCGCCACUGGAGCCCGUCCGCACCAAAGCGCCGCCGCCGCCAUUCUUUCUCCAUCGCCGGCCCAAGCGCCGCCGCUUCCGCCCAUUGCCGCCACCGGUGAGCAAUCCCUCGAAAUCCCCUCUCUCCCCUCCGCCACUUGCGCUAGCCGCUGGGGUCCCAGCCGCGCCGGAGCGCCGGCAAGCUCGCCGCCAGAGCCCCCUAGCAUGAGGAAGAAGAUGAAGUUGCCUCUUUUUUGUUCUAGCCCCUGGAAAACCUUGUAAUUCUAUGUCUUGUUCUUUGUGCCCUGCAUCUUUCACAGAAAACCCCCUGAACCUUUUAGAUAUUCCAAUCUAAUCAGAGCCAUGCACUUUUACAGAUCUAACACUGCUCUUUUCCAUAUUUCUGUCGCACUUUUCACUGUGCCUUGUCAAUCUUCCUUGCUAGCCCUUGUAAACUAUGGUUAAUCCUGUUUAGGUUCUCAUAACCUUGUUUAUCUCAUACCUUCUUCGUUUUAACUCCGUCUUCAGUGAUUCUCGCAUGCACGCGGUCAUCUCUGCUUGAACGUUAGUUCUAAGGGUUUGUUUAGGUCUUUUAAACUGUUUGGUGUAUUGUUUCUUAUUUUGUUGCAUGUUUUAUUUGUGUGAUCGUGUAGACGACGUGCCAUUCGAGGAAGGCCAGGAGCAGCAGUUAGAAAAAGAGUUUUCGCAGUUUGUCGAGGAAGGCAAGUGGUUCCCCCUUCAUAUUCUUUUUCAUCCCAGUAACAACAUAUUAAUUCACUUACUAUUUCCUGUAUUGCAUAAUUUGACGAGAUACCUAUUAAGGACUUACCUAGUCUUUUUCCCCAACCCUUGAACACCAAAUUUAAAUCUUGUUGGGUAGAAAUGCUUAGCUGCUUACUUUGGGAUGGUGAUAUUAUGAUAUUGAGAAUAUUAAUCAUGACUUUAAUUAUUGUUAUAUCUGGAUAAUUACAAGAUUGUUUAAUUUAAUCGGAACAUGGAGAACCACCCGCGAAAAUAGUAUAACUAUAAGAACUAUCAUGGCUCUGGUCUUGGCUAAUUAACUAGAAACCUUAGUCUAGGGUAAUCUUACCGGAAGGGCAAGAGGGGUGGCGGCAGAUGGGGUAUAACCCUGCCCUCACACUAAUCUGCUCUAUGGUAGCUUCAUAGUCUUUGACAGAGGUUUAUGCACACUACUGAUCCAGAAACCUUAGCAAGUUACCACUUACUAGGGAAUCUUUGUAAAGGUCUCGUAGCGUCCCUAUGCAAUCACACCUCGAAAGUGUGGUGUUAUGCCUAGCCCGCACAGCAUGGUUGGGUCUAAAGUUCUUUUGAACUUUUACGCGACUUGUGGGUAAAGAUGUGCAACCUCUGCAGAGUGUAAAACUGAUAUCUCAGCCGCGCUUACGGUUAAGAGUGGCCUGGACCCUCACAUGAUAAUUGAACUUAAAGAUUAGAAUAAAUUGUGGUUCCUUUGUUGUUGGGGUAAUGUUGAUCCUUUAUGCUUAAUUGGGUUUGUAUAACUUACACCUAGUAAAUAGGUGUUUGCUAAAAAAAUGUGAUCAACUAAAAAUGCUAACCGCUGAAAACCUAUCAACCUCUCCUUGUUAGCCUUGCAUAAUUUCCCCCACUUGCUGAGUACCAACCAUAAGUGUACUCACCCUUGCCCAAUACUGCUCAGAAGACGACGCGGAGUACUUCGACGACUUCGAGUUCUAGAAGAGCGUUCACUAGUCAAGAGCCUAUGGGAGAAGCUAUCGCCAUUUCUUUCGUGUUAAGUUAAUGGUGAAACGAUUAAAGACUUUCGUGUCUAUCUUUCGGAGUGUAAUAACGUUAUCUACUAUUUUGUUUAUGUUUUGAACACUGCCUUUGAUGUAUUCACAGAUGAAGUCAACAUAUGUGUGAGAACGGAUCCUAACACACAUAUGCUAUGCAUUCGAUUUAUCCUAAAAUCGGGUGUGACAAAAGAUAAGGAAAAGGAGAGAGAGAGGAGAAGGUAUUAAUGUGGAAGGGGGGGGACGCACGUGGGGAGGGCCUUUUGUCCCGGUUGGAAUUACCAACUAGGACAAAAGGGGGGAUCUUUUGUCCCGGUUGGAAUUUCCAACCCGGGACUAAUCCCGUCGAUGUCAUUUCGGUAUCGGCCUCCUGGUCUUCCAACUCACCGGGACUAAAAAGCCUCCCGUCGAUGUCAUUUCGGUACCUCAUUUUUGACCUAGGACUAAAGGCACUUUAGUCCCGGUCCAAAGUCAUAAAAAAGGUUGGAUGGAAGGUCACUUCUCUAGUAGUGUGGUGAUCCUACGAUAGUACAAGACUUCCCACCAGUAAUAAUGCAAACGAUAGAGAAUAUACAUAUAUAUUAAUGCACGCUGCCGACCUGAAAAAGGCAGAAGAGUUUACUUGUGUUUGUGCAUAUAUAUUGGGUUACGCAAGUCUGGUAUGGGCUGAAGCUGAAUUCAGUAGCAUUAGUGAUAUAUUCAAGUCCAGAGCAGUUCUGCAUUAGUGAUGUUUUUGCAAAAUGUGCAAGUACAUUUGAUUGAGGCCUCACUACAAGAGAACUCACUUUCCAUCCAACCCUUUUUAUUCCAGUUGACUUUGGACCCGGAACUAAAGGGCCAUUAGUCCCGGGUCAAAAAUCCACCACCAACGGGAGGCUUUUUAGUCCCGGUUGGUAAUAUCAACUUGGACUAAAAAGCCCCCUUUAGUCCCAGUUGUAACGGCUAGUGGAACGAGAAGGCUUUUUAUCCUGGUUGAAAGCACCAACCGGGACUAAAGGCCCCCCCUUUAGUCCCGGUUGGUAAUUCCAACCAGGACUAAAAGCCUCCCUAGGCCCCCCAUCUCUCUCCACCUUAUCUCCUCCUCUUCCCUCCCUUAUCUUCUCUCCUCCUCCUAUCCCUUCCCUUCCUUUGUCUCACGUAGGUCCUUUCACGCGAAGCAGCGCAGGUGGGCGGGCAGGUGAGCGGCGAGCGGGUGGGUGGGCAGCGGCUAGGUGUGCGAGCAACGAGCGAGCGGUGGGCGGCUGGCAAGCGGCGAGCGGGCGGCGGUGGGCGAGCUAUGGGAGAAGUGAGCAUUCGUUGAUGGCGUUAGUACCGGUGGUCUUUUGGUUUGGUACUAACACGUAGAGUUAGUACCGUCGUCACACACAGUUCCGCUGGAGCCCCUUUAGUACCGGUUUUGGGUCUCAGCCGGUACUAAAUGGUGGCACAAGGACUGCAUGGCCAAGGGCUAGAUUCCCCUGGAAGCUAUUUAGUACUGGCUGGUGGGUCGAGCUGGUACUAAAUGGUGUUCAUGCACAUUAGUACCGGUUCAUAGCUUCAACCAGUACUAACUGUCAUCAUUUACUACUGGAUCGACCAACGGACCAGUACUAAUUUACUCCCUAUAAAUCACCCGGCUUCUUCCUCCACGAGCCCGAGCUCCACCAUUUGACCGACAGCUCGGGCUUCUACUUCACUCCCAUGGUGACCUAGGGAGGUGUUGCCCAUUCUUUCUAUGAUUUGUGGGAAUUUCAGUCAUCCAACUGUGGUAAAGGUUAGCAACUUCAUUCUCCCUCCUAUCAUGGUUAGUAUUAUAUGUUUUAUGCUUUGUAGCUAGAGAAAUUUAUGAUUUUUUAAAAUGAGAAGUGAGAGUUUUUUAUUUAUGGAGAAUGGAGAUUUUUUUACCUAUGAGGAUUGACGGAAAUUAGAGUUCAAAUAAAUAUAAUUUUGUCCUUCAAAAACAAUUAAAUAAUACUAUAUGUGAUGCUAUAAAAUUUAGGAGUUGUUUCAUUACAAAAUAUUUUUUUGCAAUUUUUUAUAUAAAUUUUCAACCAGGACAGACCAUCCCGAUGGUAUCAAUUGCUGCAUGCGGUAAGAAGCACCAACUAGAUUGACUUUUGAAAAGAUCGCCAUGGAGGCUUAGCUACAAUAGCUUAAGGAUAAUGUGUACCUUAUACCAGACUUCUCCUAUUUUUAAAUAAAAGCACUCGAGGAGGGAGAAAGCAAUGUGACUAAACGUUCAUGUUAUUCUCAUCUUUUAGGAUCUCCUUGGUCAAACUAUUGCGGCAAUGAGCUUUAAUGUGAUUCUAGCUCAAGCCUUGGAUGUGUUGAAUUAUAGUUACAACGAUGGAAACUCGAUACACACCAGAGAUUUGAAGUUCCAGGCUCAUCUCACCUUCUACAGGCCAUAUGAGUUUACCUCUCCAUUGUUCGAGAUUUAUGGUAGUGUAUGUGAUCGUCCAUGUGAAGCAAUAGAGAGUGCACUAAUUCAUGCUCUAGUUUAUAUUGAUGAAGUUCUAGGCUUUAGGAUUGGAGACUUAAACUAUGUUGAAUAUCUAAGGAAGCGAAGCGGAGUAUGAAAUAUGUAGCAUGCAUAGAUGUACCCCUACCCUUUUUCAUAUGGAUUUGAACUUGUUCUCUCUAAGACCUUAAGUAUUGAUGUACGAACUUGUCAGACUGACUAUAUUUAUUUCAUUGCAUAUAUAAUGUUCUCCGAUACUUUUGAGACUUGGAUUUGAAUGGGUUGAUAUAUUAAUGUAAUAUUAUUAGUAUAUGCAAGAGGAUAUGAAUACUAAUUAAAAAAAAGGAUCAAAAAAAAGAAAAGGAAUAAAAUUUUAGUACCGGUUAGUAAAACCAACUGGUACUAAACUGCCGACCCCAACAACGCAAUGUGGCAUGCAGUGUAGUACCAGUUGGGGUGCUUGAUACUAAAUGCCACCUAAACUAGCGAUACCAGUCGAGCACCCGGUACUGAUGAAUGGUUCCCGACCGGUACUAGAAGUCGAUUGUCCAGUGUUGAAACCAUGGACUGGCAUAGUGCAGGAGUGAUCAUCCACAUGAUAAUUUGCAAUAGGCUGCCUCUCCCCUGAAUCAUAUGGAUGCUGACUAAUAUCAUAAGUAGGUGCUAGCAUUAGAGUACCAAUUUCUUUAUGUGCAGCCGGAGGUUGAAAACAUGCGCAGUGGGGUCACAUUUUGUUCGAUCACUCUUUCUUUCAUAAGGUGACCCUUGUUCAUCUUUAAUUGGCUCUUCUGACAGGCGCAGCAAGGAAAAGAGGUGGAGAAGUAGCCUUCUUCCUUGAUGCAUAUUUGUAAAACAGAGAUGCAUUAUCUCUAUUCCUCUUCAUGUUUCAACAAAUCUACAAGAUAAUUGUGCAAUGUUUCAAUUUACGAAUCCAACUUCGCAUUGGAAUCCUAAAAUUGAACUGUACAUAAAUCAAUUAUUCAUAUUCAUACUUGUCUUAUAUGAAAACUAGUAGAUCCCAUGCUCCCUUCUUUGGACUCAAUUGUGGAUCACUCGUAUGGUCGUACCUAGGGUUUAAUUGAAAGAGAAUCAGGGGCAUUGGGGCAAUGCGAGGGAGCAAAGGGUAGAAGGCGAUCAUCCCUGCCCUGCCCUCCAGCUCACCGCCCCAUCGGUUUGCUAGGGGACUUGAAUGGGCAAGCUACAGGGGAAGCUCCUAUUUCCAUGUACAAGAGUCGAGUGGACGGGUGAAGCAAUCGAUGAACGAAACAAUAGACGGAGGAAAUAGGUGCCAUAAAAAAUCCUAAGGGGUAAUGGGCCUUGGGCCAGAAAUUUCAAGGUUGUCCAAGGACCACACAGACCAUCCUGUAGCUCCACCCCUAAUUACAUGCCUCGCUGGUCCUAGAAUCGUGGAGUCCUUUGUUGGGUCCUAGAAUCGUGGAGUCCUUUCUAGAAAUAUCAACGGGAACAAACCUGCUUGAUUUUGCCAUCCCAAACCCAUGCCCAUGAAGAAUAUCUAAACCCAUUGAAAAACCCAUGCUCGUGACAUGUUGAGAAUUGUGCCUAAACCCGUGCCCAUCGGGUUAGCGGGACUGGGUACCCAUGGGCUGCCCAUGGGUUGCGCCUCUACUAUGCUAGUUCUUCUCAUAAUCAACAAGUUUCAUAAUGAGCAAUGAAUUCAUAGUCCAUAUAUUUAUAUGAUGAGCAACAAGUUCAUAGUUCUCUAUAAAAACUACUAGUAGAGAGAAUAAAACUACAAAUAACAAGACCACAGCACAUACACAAGUCACCAAUCCACCACAUACAUAACAUAAGUAAGCACUAUAAUAGCAAGCUAGCAACACCCUCACCCACUACCAACACAUUCACCAUUUUGAAAAUUAUGAAGUAAAGGGGGACGGACAUCAAGUUUAUAAUACGUUCACAAAUAAAAUGACAAUAUGCAUAGGACCUGGUUUAAAAAGCCCACGGGUUCAGGUGUACUACAGGAACAAACCCAUGCCCAUAAUAAACCCAAAUGGUAGAGAUUUUUGCCCAUUAACAAACCUAUGGGUAAGAAAAUUAACCCACACCUGUGUCCUAAUAGGGUGGGAGGUCUUUUCCCGCAAGAAAAUCUUGUUCCAACACAUGCCCCCCUAUUUCUUGGUAAAGCUUGUGUACCAAGAAAUAAACUAGGUUUAAAGAUGAUGAAUUCUGCCAGCCAUUUGUCCUAAGGGUGAUAUUUCAAAACAUCAGCCAUAUUGCUUCAAGUGUCUUGCCAAACACUCGGAUGAUACCUUUUCAAGUACCUCCGUUCAGAGCUCUAGGUAAUUAAAACCCGCUCAUUGUCUCUAUUAUAUAGGAGUUUCCACAAAGGACACUUGUAAUCUUAUAUGACCCUUCCCAACUUGGAGACCAUUUCCCAAAUUCAUUGCUCUUGGCUCCUAUAGGCAUAAUUGUCUUCCACACCAGAUCUCCUACCUGAAAUGUCUUGGCCUUGACCUUCUUGUUAUAUGCUUUAGUCACUCAAAUUUUAUCCGUUUCAAUCCUGACCAAGGCCUCCAUCCGCUUGUUGGUCACUUCAUCAAUGUUAUCCAUCAUUAAAGCAUAAUAAGAUUUACCUCAAUGGGUAAAACGGCUUCUUGACCAUAGACAAGCUCAAAAGGAGUAAGCUUGGUGGCGCCAUGUCUAGAAAUACGAUGAGCCCAUAAAGCUUCAGAUAAUACCUCAUGCCAUCUUUUAGGAUCGUCCUCUAUCUUCUUCUUGAUGAGCUUUAUCAAGAUCUUGUUGCUAGACUUGGCCUGACCAUUAGCUUGAGCAUAAUAAGGAGAUGAAUUGAGCAAUUUGAUGCCAUAAGAUCCCACAAACUCACACAUCUCUUUAGAUAUGAACGAAGUUCCCUGAUCUGUAGUGAAAGUCUGUGAAUACCAAAUCUGUAUAUAAUAUGUUCCUUAAUAAACCCAAUCACCUCUCUAUGUGUCAUAUUCUUAAGAGGAAUUGCUUCAGUCCACUUGGUGAAAUAAUCAGUGACCACAAUCACAAAACAAUGCCCCUUUGACGAACAAGGAUGAAUCUUGCCAACAAAAUCCAAUCCCCAUCCUCUAAAUGGCUACGGUUUAACAAUUGAGUGCAUCGAUGAAGUAGGCACCAACUGAACAUCCCCAAACUUCUGACACUCUUCACAACCUUUGUAGUAGUGAAAGCAAUCGGCUAUCAUAUUAGGCCAAUAAAAACAAGCCCGCUUAAGGAGCCACUUUCAUCACACGAGCCGAUUGAUGCAUACCACAAACUCCUUCAUGCACCUCUACCAUAGCUAAUCUAGCCUGAUCAGAAUCCAAGCAUUUCAAAAGCAACCCAUCAAUCGUCCGAUGAUACAAUUCGCCAUCCAUCAAAGUAAACUUGAGUGCCCACCGCUAGACUUUUCUAUCAACUAAACACUCAAGAUUCUGUAAAUAAUUAAUCAGAGGCAGCCUCUAGUCAUCCACUUCAUCCUUAGCAAUCUUACGACGAUCCAUGGCUGAAGUGGGAUCUUUACCUGACAGACCGAUCAGACCGGUUGGCUACGCAGUCGGACCGGUUGGACUGGUCAGACCGAUUUCAGAAGCCGGUUGGACCGGUUCGUUCAGGGCAUAACACUCGGCUUUGUAAAGCGUCGGUUUUAUUUUAUGAAAGUUCCUUUCUGGAUGUUAUAGCCAGAUGCUUGUUGUGCCAGAGCAUUAGCCCUUGGAUUUUCCUCCAUUGGUAUAUGAUGGAUAGUAAAUUCAUACAUGCAAGAUAUGAUAUCUAGACAUUUAUCAAGAUAGGCAUUUAAGAACCCAUCCAAACAUUGACAUACCUUGGAUACUUGUUGUACCACCAGAAGGGAAUCUCCAUCAGCUUCAACAUGCUUUACCCCCAUCUCUUGUAAAAUCUCCAAGCCGAACAGUAAAGCCUCAUAUUCAGUUUGUUUAUUGCUACACCUGCGAUCCAAUCGGCUAAGAAACUGAAAAACAGCCCCGUUUGGUGAAAUAAGCACCACACCAACACCUCAGCCACUUUUGCAAAUCGAUCCAUCAAAGUGCAACUUCCAAGGGGUAAUAGUGAUAUAACCGAUAUUUAAAUCAAGUUGCUCAUUAAUUCUAUGUUCAACAAUAAAAUCGGCUACGACUUGACCCUUUAUUGAUUUCAACGGUUCAAAAACCAGAUCAUAUUGAAUGAGAGCACACACCCAUUUACCGAUUCUAGCACUCAAAAUAGGUUUUUGCAACAUGUAUUUAAUUAUGUUGGUUUGACAAGCCACUAUGCAAGUAUUUGAUAAUAAAUAAUACCUCAACUUGGUACAAGCAUGAUAUAAUGAUAAUCACAAUUUCUCAAUGAAAGUGUACCUUGUUUCAGCAUCCAAUAAUCUUCUACUCACAUAGGUAACAAUAUGCUCCUUCCCUUCGGUCUCUUGAGUCAGAACAGCCCCAAUCACACCUUCUUCGGCUGCCACAUAUAAUUUAAAAGGAAUACCAUGCUUUGGUGCCUGAAGAAUGGGCGGUGAAGAUAAAUAAUUCUUGAUUUUCUCAAAUGCUUCUUGCUGUUUUUCCUCCCAAGUAAAAUCAGUUUCAUUCCUCAACCGAAGUAAAGGAGUAAAUGCAUUCACUUUUCCGGACAGGUUGCAAAUAAGUCUUCUCAAAUAAUUCACCAUGCCCAGAAACUUUUGCAACUCCCUUUUGCAAGUAGGAGCUCGUAAUUUUGGAUCAAUCUCAACCCCUUUUUCAUGUACUACAAAGCCCAAGAACUUCCCAGCCAAUACACGAGAAGCACAUUUGAGUGGAUUCAUCUUUAAGCCAUAUCAACACAUCUUCUCAAAUGCAAGCCUCAAAUUAGCCAAACGGGAUUCUGACCCAGCUGAUUUUACCACAAUGUCGUCAAUAUACACUUCCAGCACUACUCCUAGCAAAUCAUGAAAAAUCAAAUUCAUAGCCCUUUGAUAAGUAGCACCAACAUUCUUCAUACCAAAAGUCAUAACGAUCCACUCAAACAAACCGAAAAAUUCUAGACACACAAAGGCCAUUUUGGAUAUAUCCUCCUCGGCCAUGAAGAUUUGACUGUAUCCAACAUUACCAUCAAGAAAGCUAAUCAUUUUAUGUCCAGAUGCAGCAUUAAUAAGCACACCAGCUAUAGGCAUAGGAUAUUCAUCUUUUGGCGAAACUCUAUUAAGAUCUCUAAACUCAAUGCACACCCUAAGCUUACCGGUGCCCUUCUUCUCAACAAGCACAAUAUUAGAAACCCUAUCAGCAUAUCGACAUGGCCUAAUAAACUUAGCAUCAAGCAACCGAUUGAUUUCUUCUUUCGCUCGGUCAUAGAUAAUAGGAUUAAAACGCCUAGCAGGUUGUUUAUGAGGCCAAAAAUCAGGUUUGAUGGGCAGCAAAUGCUCAACUAGCUCGCAGCUUAAACCAGGCAUUUUAGUAUUUCCAUGCAAAAUAGUCGACAUACUCUUUUAAUAACUUUAUUAAAUUUGCCUCGAAAAUAGGCUCAAGAUUUUUUUUUACAAACAUUGGCCUUGGUACAAUACCAUCACCAAUAUCCACUUCCUCUAAAGGAUCGGCUGAGGUGAACUCUUGUCCUAGUUUACUCAUAUCAUCAAGAUCCUCAAUGGCUUCACACAUAUCAUUCUUCUGCGCCCGAUAGUGUUCUAGCCUUUGCACCCGAUAGUGUUCUAGCCUCUGCUGCAACCAUUCUAAAUUUACAUUGAUUACAUCAUAUGUGAUAAGUUAGCCAAUCCUCAAUCGCCUUUAAUACAGCAACGACAAAACCAUCCUUUGUGCAACUAAUGUACUCACAAUCAGAAAGAUCUACGCCAGAUAAGCACUUAACAUUAUCAUAAGCACUUAUGGUAGAACUAUCGGCUACAGCAACACAAGUCGACGCAUCACCAUACACAACCUCCAUGUCGUCACCGACCCAUUGGAUCAAACAUUUAUGCAGCGUAGAAGGAACACAUUGAUUUGCAUGAAUUCAAUCACAACCCAAAAUUAAACUGAAGUUACCUUGGUUCUUGGUGACGAAGAAAGCAGUAGCCAACGUAUUGCUCCCAACGGUGAGCUCCAUAGAGACAACGUCUUUAGCUCCCAUAGGCUCACCUCCUCCCACACCGCUGAUAGUCAUGUUGAUCUUGAUCAGCUCCUUAUCUGAACCUCCUAAUUUCUUGAAGAAAGAAUAGGUCAUUAAGUUGAUAAUUGCUCCUUCAUCAACCAACAUUUGAGAAAUUGGCUUCCCAUUGAUAUGGCCUCUCAUGUAUGCUUUCAGAUGGCUUUCAGUGGCUUUAGGCUUUUGGAACAUAGCCUCCUUACACCCAAAGUCAAGGUGAGCCAAAUCGUCCUCCGAAAUCACAUAACCAUCCAUCAACAUAUGAAUCAUAUUUAUAUCCAAGGUCAUGCUCUCAGGAAAAGUAUUGUAAUUAGCAAGCUACUCAUCAUCCUCUAAGUCACGGACUGAUGCCAACCCAUUGUCACAAACCACAGGGACAAAAGAAGCGAACCUGGGCGGCAACUCUGGAUUGAUCGGUCUGACCGGCUCGGGUACCGGCACAGAUGCCUCGACUGGUCUGACCGGUUCCUCGACCGAUCUGAUUGGUGGAGGUGGGGCGUCAGCCUUGACUCCCCACUCUUUCCUCUGAGGUGCCACAGGUCUGUAUCUGUUGAAUGCCUCAUCCCUCUGUCUCUCUAGCUCCUCUUCCCUCUUCUCUUGCACCCUCAGCCUUUGCAACUUCCUCCUUUGCGUGCGAGUCAACCCGGGAGAACACCACCUGGGCAAGAAGUAUCUGGAGGUCGACCCACUACUGCUAGCUUCAUGAUCAUUAGCAGUGGGAACUUUUUGAACAGAUGACAUGACCAGAUUAUUUGUGCCAAUCGGUCCCUUUGCAUUAGCCUCGACAGGAACUUCCAUAGACCCAAUCUGGAUAAUAGCUUUCUCUUUGCCUUCUCCUGAGUCUAUCUUCAUCCUCUGAAUCUCCUCCUUUCUCUGCUUAGGACAAAACACUUACCUUGGAAGAGACGACCUGGAUGCCUGGACAGACCGGUCGGACCGGUCAAGGUGGGCUGAUCUGACCGGUCAGGUCUUUGGACCCUGACCAGAUGAGCGGGGUUCCCAACAGUCUUGCACAGGGCGCGAGAUUUGGUCUAAAGUUGACUUUCUAGAACCUCCCCAUCCAGGAUGGAAAGAUGGCUUCUGCAUGGACUGGUAAGGCACCCAAAUUACCCCAUUAUCAUCCCACAUUGGGCAUGGAGGUUUUGAUACUGGAGGAGCCCAGGAUGCGGAGGGGUACUGCCAUGGUUGCACUUGGUCACUCCUCUAUCUUAUAACCGCUCUUGGUGCCAAACCUUGUCUCUCCUGAUGAGUGGGUUACCUCAUUCUCUUUUUCACGGGCUGAUCACUUGUAACGGCCUUUUCUUUAGUAUACUUGUCCGAAAGCAUAUCAAAGGUGACUUUUUUCCUGGGGCCGCUACCCUGUUCUUUCGCCAUGUUAAGCUUCCAAGUCCCAAUUUUUGGACGCUUCGGUUUCAGCAUUCGGGCACGGUCCUGGGGCUAACCGGUCCCCUGCACCGGUUUGACUGGUUCGGACUGGACAGCAGGCUCGAGUGGCUUUUGACCAGAUGCUGCGGACGUUGCUUGCCCCUUGUGUCCAGAAGCUUUUACAGUAAUUUUGAAUGACUCUCUGCCAUCUGGAGUCUUUUCAUACACCACCUCCCUUGUCAACUCUUUUCCUCUCAGAUUGGGCUUUUCUUCCCUGACCACCACAUUCUUACCUUUGUUAGCUUUGGCUUGGUGUGGCCAAACCAGAGCCUUGGGCUGCUCUAUGUCCAUUGUAUUGACAGGUAAUGGUGUCUUAUCCACUUGCAUCUCAUGGAAUGUCAACCGGCCUUCAUUUAUAGUUGAUUGAACCUAUCGACGGAACACAUUGCAGUCAUUAGUGGCAAGAGAAAAAGUAUUAUGGAACUUGCAAUAUGCUUUCCUUUUCAGCUCUUUCAAGUGGAGGCAUGGUAUGUGAUAUUUUCAGAUGUCCAAGUUUAAGCAAUUCAUCAAAGAUACCAUCACACUUGGAAACAUUGAAAGUAAAUUUUACUUCUUCUUGCUGACUCUUGUGGGCUGGCUUGAGGGAUGCAUAAGAAUAAGACUUAGCUUUAGAAGGCCAAACAAACUCAGUAGCAUAAAUUUCAUUAUCAACGUCGCUCAAACUAUUGGAAUCAUACUCAAUAGCAUGCAUAUUUGAAUGACGAGAUUUAUAGCUAUCCUUUUCUUUAGCUAAUGUAGUCUCUUGUGCCAUGGCUCUCGCAUGUACCAUUGCAACAUUGAUAAAUUCUUGGCCUUCUAAUCUAUCCCUAAUAGAUGAUCUUAAACCUUUAAAGGCUAGAUUGGCAAAAUCUGAUUCAGAAAGUGACACAUUGAAACAACGGUUUUUGGUUUCCCUGAACCGUUUCAUAUAAUCAGAAACAGAUUCAUCUUUACUUUGCUUAACCGAUGUCAAAUCUGUCAAUUUGAAUUGAAGAUUCGCAUUAAAGAAAUGAUCAUGAAUUUUUUGUUCUAGUUGAUCCCAAGAAUCAAUAGAACCAGAAGCCAACAAAGAAAACCAAGCGAAAGCUGUACCCGUCAAAGAUAAAGAAAACAAUUGAACUUUUAAGGCAUUAUAGGUACUAGCUUCACCUAGCUGAGCAAGAUAUUGGCUAACAUGUUCCCAUGUAGUACGGUUGUCUUCCCCAGUGAAUUUGACAAAAUCAGGUACACACCAACUAGGGGGAAGAGGAACAUAAUCAAAACUAGCAUCAUAUGGCUUCUGAUACAGCUUAGAGUUGCCAAUAUCGAUCCCAAGUUUACUUCUUAAAGUUUUAAGCAAUUCUUCUUUAAACUUGAGAUUCUCAUCCCAUGUUCAGGAUGGUCUCUGCAUUGUAGCCGACGCAUUUAUUUCAUUCACAUGAGGUAAGCUACCACUCUGAAUGCGAUAUAGAUCAUCAUACAUGUCAUUUGGUAUGCCUUUCGAAGACACACUGGUAUUAGGAAUAGGAUGUGACAUGUACACGAUCAUAUUGGACAUAGGUGGAACUGGCCCAACGCCACCAGCACGGUUAGGAGCAACUGAACUAGGUAUAACGGCGAGUAGUACUGGUGUUUUAGGAACCACAAUCAACUAGCCGACCUGACUGGCCUGACCGGUCGGACCGGUAGCCCUAACCGGUCGGACCGGUUCAGCCGUGAUCGGCUUUGUCGGUUGACGGGAGGUGGUCUUUGCCCCUGAAAGAAGUUAGCUGGCAUACCAUAUGUAGGAUUUCCAAUAGGAGGCCCUGAACUGGCCGACGGACUUGUGUGUGCUACCCCAUGUGAAUCUGAUUGAGGGAGAUUUGAAUCGGCAAUCUCAGCCGAUUUACCCUUCUCUAAACUUGCUAUACGCACAGAUAAAGCAGCAAAAAGCUCAUUUUGAAGGUCAGACAUUGCAUUGAGCCUAUCAUGAGUAGAGGAAUCAGGGCAUGUUUUGCUUACAUUGCUUACUUCCUCAACACGGUUGUGGUCACCUUGAUCGCCGGCAUCUCGAAAUCCUGAGCUCGCGAAGUGUUGCCUUGACGAUCCUUUUUGACGCCAGCUAGGAACUUCCUCCUGACAUACUCUUGCACUGCUGCAAGAUCCUUCUAAUCCUUCUCACUGAGGUCUUCCAUGGAGGCCAUGAUGAUAUUAUCCUUAUCAAUUUUCGCAGUAGAUCCCAUAUGGCUAGGGUUUUCCAGAAUGGUUGUAAAAACCAGAUCUUUUAUUCCCCAGCGGAGUUGCCAAAAUUUGUUGACGCCUUUUUCGAUCAACACACGAAUGCGCUAGCUCACACGUGUAGCACGUGAUCACCUCGUCGAAGUCUCUACUCCUAGCUGGUCAGACCUGUCAGGCAGGCCAGUUGGACCGGUUUGGCACAGGGACACCGUGAAAGCCUAAGAAGACCACCUCGGGAGGCACCCCAUCGGAGAUGGCGCACCUAGAGUUGCUCUGAGAUCAGUCAAGCCACUCAGAGCAUCCUCAAAUGCCGUCAAGACGAAGGGGGAAAGCAAGAGGGUUGGAAAAGCUAGGGUUUGGAGAUAAAAGGUAAAUAAAUGUGUUUGACAAUUGGGUGAUAGCCGUCAAUUGGCCAAGGCCCUUUAUAUUUAUAGGGUGGGAGGUCUUUUCCCGCAAGGAAAUCCUGUUCCAACUCCAAUUUGACCAGGACUCCUAAUCUUGUCCCGAACUCGGGGUGACCGGUCUGACCGGUCAGGACCAUCGGUCAGAUCGGUGGGCACGUGCUCGAUCGGCUACAGAGGCCCAGACCGGUCAGAUAGCCCGGAGGAACCGGUCUAACCGGCCGGUUUAAGCCCGAUUGGCUUGCUGCCACUUUUGGACAUCAACACAAACCAUCCCCUAUGAUGGUCAUUCAAGAGAUCAGUGGAUAUACAUCUGGGGUAACAACACCUACACAUCAAAACAAUUCUACAAUUUUGUCUACUCUAGCAUCCAGGAUCCUAUCACCUUCAGUUGGCUAUGGAAGUCCAAGUGCAUGCCACGGUUAAAGUUCUUUGCCUGGUUGCUCCUAGUUGAUUGACUGAAUACAAGAGCCAUACUUAGAAGAUGACAUACCUGUUGGUCAAAGAUUCAGAUUACUUGGACAGACCAGAACAUUCACGGCAGAAUUAUUUCAGCCAGACAGUUUCAAGACAACCGCCUCUUCAUGGAUAUAUUCAUCAUUCUAGCUUGGGAAUUAUGGAAGAUGUUUUUUUUAGAUUAAGGACCAAAGUCCGGUCUCAGCCAUCAAAGUUUGACAACUUACAACCGAAGAGAAACAAACUUCUGCUUUUAAGCAGCUAGACCAACAUCAACUUUGAAACAAAAGAGAAAGAAACAGAGAUUCUGCUACUAAAGCAGAACCAGACUAGUUCUUGAUCCUCUUCAAGAUAUUCCAGCCCGCCUUGCUAAGAAUUUCCAUAGUUGAAAUCUCUAGAUAUCGGCAUCCAUUCUUCAGGCGGUCCCUCUCUUCCUCUUUAGAUAGAAUUGACCAACUCUUGAUCCAAUACGUUCCUCUGAAGAUUACCUGCAAACAAGAGUUAGGUUUUGAUCUUUGAAAGACCACAUCAUUUCUACUCAACCAAAUAGCCCAACAGAUAGCAGCUACACCAAUAAGGACUUGAUUCCUAAGUUUAUUUGGGAAACCCCUAAGCCAGGAACCAAAAAGAUUUGCUGCAUUCCCUGGCUGUUGAAAGCCAAAAGUGAUGCUAACCGAAUUCCACACCAUUCUUGCCAUUGGGCACUCAAAGAAAAGAUGCUGAAUUGUUUCUUCUGCACUACAAAAACAGCAUGUAGUACAGCCUUUCCAUUUCCUCCUCGCAAGGUUUUCUUUGGUGAGGAUGACUCCUUGCUUUAAGUACGAAAGGAAAACCUGGAUCUUUAGAGGAAUUUUUACUUUCCAAGCUGAACACUUGGAAGGCACUCCUAACCCUUUCAUCAUAUUAGUAUACAUUGUCUGAACCAUGAAAUUUUUGUGUUUGGUCCAAAUUAAGGAGUCCUUGUUCUCAUUAAGCUGCACAAAUAAGACCCUCCCAACCAACUCCAACCACUUAGCUAGCUUAUCACCCACUAAUGCUCGUCUAAAAGAAACAUUAUCAGGUGAGGAGCUUAACACGUGGGCUACCGUGAUAGUUUUCUUCCUGACUAUAUGAUAUAGCAAUGGAUUACUUUUUAUCAACGGUUUAUUUCCAAGCCAUAAGUCUUCCCAGAAUCUAGUCUGAGUGCUGUCAUUAACCUUGAACCACCCUCCCUCUAGCAAAUGAGCCUUAACUUCCAUCAGUCCUAUCAAGAAUUGUGAGUCCCCCUUCCUCUUUUCUUCUCGAGACAAAGUUCUAUUACUGAGAUACUUUUUCCUGAGGAUAUCCUACCAUAGGCCUUCCUCAUUAAAAAGUUUGAACAACCACUUACUCAGUAAACAUUUAUUUUGAGUGUCAAGAUCUAUAAUUCCCAAACCCCCUACACUCUUGGGUUUACACAAGAUACACCAUCUAGCAAGUCUAUAUUUCUUCUUAUGCUCAUCACAUUAUCAAAAAAAUCUUGAUCUAUAAUAAUCUAACUUCCUGAGAACACCUUUAGGUAUUCUGAAGAAAGACAUCAUGAACAUUGGCAAAUUUGAGAGCUCCGAAUUAAUUAAGACAAGUCUCCCCCUACAGAUAUCAAUUUGCCUUUCCAGCUACUUAGCUUUUUCUGAAAUCUAUCCUCUAUCACACUCCAAUCUUUAUUAGAAAGCUUGUGAGAACUCAUGGGAAUACCCAAAUAUCUAAAAGGCAUGGCACAUUCUUUACAUCCAAAUAAAGCCACAUAUUCAGACGCCCUUUCUUUUGUAUCCCCAAAACAGAAAAGCUCACUCUUGUGGAAGUUAAUUUUGAGACCUGGUAACUUUUCAAAAGCACGUAGUACCAGUUUCAAGUUCUUGGCCUUCUCUAAAUUAUCUUCCAUGAAAAGAAUUGUGUCAUCGGCGUAUUGAAGGAUUGAGAGACCUCCCUCCACUAAGUGAGGGACUAAACCACUGAAAUGGUUAUGAUUUUUGGAUCUCUCAAUCAAAACAGCCAGCAUAUCUGCCACCAAAUUAAAAAGGACUGGUGAAAGAGGAUCACCUUGCCUUAACCCUUUCUUAGUUUGGAAGUAAUGUCCCAUCUCAUCAUUCACCUUAACACUCACACUUCCUUUAGUGACUACCUGCUCUAUCCAUUGACACCAUUUGCUUGAGAAUCCUUUCAUUCUUAACACUUGUUGCAAGAAAGACCAAUUAACAUCAUAUGCUUUCUCGAAAUCUAGUUUAAGAAUAAUGCCCUAUUGUUUCUUUCUCCUUAACUCAUGUAGCGUUUCAUGCAAAAUAACAACUCCUUCCAAAAUAUAUCAACCUGGCAAGAAGGCCGUUUGAGAAGAUCUUGUUACCUUAGUAGCUACCAAAGACAGUCUGUUAGCAAUCACUUUUGUAAAGAUAUUAAAGCUAACAUUGAGCAUACAUAUAGGGCGAUAUUGCUGAAUUUUCUUGACCUCUUGCUCCUUGGGGAUCAAAUAUAAUCCCAAAGUUAAGGCAAAAAAGAUUGAGGUCACCCUUGUGGAAUUCUCGAAACAUAGCCAUUAGGUCAUCCUUAAUGACACUCCAAAAGACUUGGUAAAACUCAGCAGGGAACCCAUCUGGUCCUGGAGCACUAUUAUGUUUCAUUUGAAAGAUUGCAUCUCUAAUCUCCUUCUCUGAAAACUCUGAUGUCAGCAUCUCAUUCUCUGUAGUAGUAACCUGGGGAAUGUCUUCUACUCUAGAUUCCAUCAUGGAGAAAUUAUUUCCUUCUAGCCGUUCAAAAAGAACAUUAUAGUAUUUCGUAAUAUACUUUUUUAGUUGCCCUUCUCCUUCAGUUAUGCCUUCCUCUUGCUCCAGUUGGAAUAUUCUAGUUUUCCUUCUUUUGCCAUUUGCCACCAUCUGAAAAUAUUUGGUGUUAUCAUCUCCUUGUAAAAUAUCAGUAGUCUUUGCCCUUUGAAACCAUCUCAGCUCUUCCUCUCUAAGGAAGUGGGCAAGUCUUUCUUUAAUGCUUUGCUUUAAGUCCAAUUCUUGCUGACUUAGCAGCUGGACCUCAGCCAUUUUGUCGAGUUCAUCUGCCUUCCUGAUUAGCUCUUGCUUUUCCGUUUUAUAGGCUCCUUUCAUAUCUUUUGCUCAUCCUCUUAAAAAUUGUCUUAAUCUUCUACUUUUAUUUUGCCAUUUUUGUAGAGGAGUAUCCCCUCUGUUCUCUUUGUGCCAUACUUCUGAGACUAGCUCAAAAAAAACAUCUCUCAAUAGCCAACUCAGUUCAAAUUUAAAAUUAGGUUGGUUCCUACUUUUGGUCUCCUCCCCAAUGCUUAGCAACAAGGGUGUGUGAUCUGAAAUUUCUCUACUUAGUGCAUCAACUGUAGCUAAAGGAAACUUUUUUCCUAUUCGGUACUUACUAGUACUCUGUCCAACUUUUCAUACGUUGGAACUUGCAAGGAAUUUGCCCAAGUGAAUUAGCGGCCUGACAUCUCAAUCUCCCUCAAGUCUAAACCAUCAAUAACAGCAUUAAAAAGAAAAGACCACAUCCCAUCAAAUCUAUCAUUAUUCUUCUCAUUAGCAUUUCAGAUUAUAUUAAAAUCCCCUCCCACACACAAAGGUAGCCUUUCUUUGCUACAAGAUUGCACUAGCUUAGUCAAAAAAGAUUCCUUAAACUCAGGUUGGGCUGCACCAUAAACAGCCACCAAUACCCACUUAAAGCCAUCCUUUUUGUAUCUAAGCCUAAACUUUACAUAGAAAUAAACUUCUUCUAUACUGCCAAUGUCCAUCAUAUCUAAAUUAACUCCCAACAAGAUGCCUCCCGGCCUACCAUGAGGCUGAGACCAGUGCCAUAAAAAGUUUCUCCCACCACUAAAAUUAUUUAGUGUAGAUUGAGAGAAAUCUUUCUUGCAAGUUUCCAACAGAACUAUAAAAUCUAAGUUUUGCUCCCUGGAUGUAUCUCCUAAGAACCUAGAUUUAGCCAAGUCGCUUAGACCUCUGUUGUUCCAGAAAAUACCCUUCAUUUGGAACUACUUUUAUAAAGUUGAAUACCCUUAAUCUUGCAAGUCUUUUUUUUAAGCACAACUUAGCAAGGGACUUGCACUUUCGAGAGGACCCAUUAAGCUCGCUACUUCGAGGGAAGCUGUCCUCAUCGAACACUUCUUCCAUCAAUUCUCCACAAAGGCUCUUUAACUAAUCAUCCAGGGCUGUUCAACAGCAUCUUGUUCAACCUUUUCCUUCCCCAAUUCUGAUCUAAACAAUUGCUGAACAUUAUCACAUCUAUUUUUUUUGAAACCCCAAAAUUAACCCCUAUUUGCUGCAAACACAAUACUGCAUCGCUAGAAUUUACAAAAAAGCAGGAAUUUGACAGAGGCGUACCUCCCCCUAGCUCCAGGUUUUUCUUAGCCACCCUCGCCUCGGCUUUAACCAAGGUGUCCUCGUCAUUAGAUUGCUGCAGCCUUGGACUGCAGCGAACCUGCGACAAGGUUGCUUCUGGGAUCCUCGCAGCUUCCUCCAUCUCCUUGUCUUCUCCUUGGUUGGCCACCACUCCAUCCAUUGUUUCAUUUAGCUGCCCUUCCUCCUCUUCCUCCAUGAUUCUGUCAGCUAUCUCUCCAAUUACUUGCUCUGUAGAAAUGUCUAGUAUAGCUUCCGCCUUCUUUCUCAGGAACAUCUCAAAUUCCUUUUCAUUCAUCUUUUGGACUUGCUCUUUAAGGGAACUGAGCUCGGUUGAAAUUGUAGGAUUCACAGCAUCAGCCUUGCCCCCCACUUCAUCAUUAUCGUUGGAAUUGUUCUGUCUUUUAGUAUCUCUCCCCUGCCCUUUCUCUCCAUCCCGGAGCUCCUCUUCCUCCUCCUCCCCCUCUUCCUCCCCAUCUCCAUCUCCAUUCCAUUCAAAAAUAGUUUCCUCGCCAUUUUCAUCCAUCCCCACUUUCUCAACUUUGAAUUCUAAUUCAAAAUAAUGGUCCCCAAUGACCACAUCAAGGCGUGCAGGAAUCAAACUUGGGGCCUGUUUGGAUACCCUGUGUUAAAAUUUAACAAGUGUUAAAGUUUUAACACUCUCAAAUAGAGUGCUAAAGUUUAACACAUUGGGGUGUUUGGAUAAUGUGUUAAACUUUAACACCUUUGGUGGGAAAUGACUCCAUUGCCCCCUCAUUUAUGGUCGGCGGAGAGAGAGGGAGGAGAGAGAAGGGGUAACUUGGAAAAAGUGAAGAGGGGGACCACUUUUAACACCUUUAGCAAGUUUUAACACCCUCUCCAUGUGUUUAUGAAAAAUGGGGUGUUAAACUUUAACACCCGCACUUUUAACACAAGUGUUUGGAUAGCAAAGUGUUAAAAAGUGUUAAAAAUGGGGUGUUAAACUUUAACACCCCCUUUCCAAACAGGCCUUUGGAUUAAGGACUGCUACAAAGAUACAGCCAAAAUCACUUUUUCUGGUUGUUUCCAUGUCAACCGUUUGAGUUGAGCCAAGCAUAGACCCAACCACCCAAAGAUCCAAAAAUUCCCUCAGAUCUUUCCUAAUACCAAAGACUUUGACCCAUACCUUUGGUAACAAGAAGCCUGUCUCCUUCUAAUGCCACAUCAGCCCCUCUAAUGUCCGCACCUCCAAAUGCUAUUGCUCGCUGCAAUCUUUGAGGAAAACUUGGUGAGGAAAGUGUCCUCCUCAUGCUCCUUGAGCUCCCACACCUAUUUCCUAGGAAAAAUCCUCUCCGGUUGCCUCUGAACUUCCUCUUUUGUAAGCUUUCCCCCUUCCACUGAAAUCACAGCAGCUUUUGAAUCCUUUUUCGCCUUAGGAAGAGGAGGGCGAGGAAUGUGGUAAAACCCUAAUCCAUGAACCGCAUAUCCGACAGCAUGAGCCACUGGCCUAGGCAUCUUCAAGAUCGGAUACUUGUAAUUCACAUGAUCGUGGCUAUCGCAGAUUACAUAAUAUAUUUCAUCUAUGCACUUUGCUGCAACAUGCCCCUUUUUGGUGCAUCGCGCACAAUUAAACCCAUACUUCAACUCUCCCCCUUCCUGCUCAUCCCCUUCAACCGCGUCCCCCAUCUCUACAUCUCCUCCCACCCUGUCCUGCUGUAUUUUAACCAUCUCCUCCAUCUUCUCUGGCACAUAUAUUUCUUCCCUUUGUUUUCCUUUGCAAGCCUCCUGUAAAAACCUCUGCAAACCAUCAAAAGAUCUUCCACCAUGCUUAUGCUCAGGUUCAAAUCGCUGCCAGCCCCGGCCACCCAGGCCUCUGCCACCCCUCAUGCCAUGACCCUGAUUGAAACCCCAGCCACGAGGUGCAUACCUGCCAGAGCUGUGGCCGCCAAUGGUGUGACCCCAAAACUCACGAUUAAAACCAAAGCCACCCUUCGAACUUCUUCCCACCUGCUGCCCUCUAGGCGUGUCAAACCUCUGCCCAAAUUGUUCUGGCCUUGUUCUUGUAAAUUGCAUGUAUUCUCUGAUCAGUCGAUCUCCCUCACCAUGGACCCUCCUCUCAUCCCUUUGCCUAUCUGUCAUUGGCGUUAGCACCGCAGCAGCUUUCGAUGGGCACUGGAAGUCAGGCGAUUGAUAGAUGAAAGGUUCACGAGUUGAAAGACCAACAGGCUUUCCGGCUCAUUUAAAGAGUAACCCUAAACCCUUCGUGAAACGAAACAUUGGUAGGGCCUUCCUCUGGACCGAGACGGCCCACAACUUUGGCCCAGGCAGCUAAAUCGUCAUAGGAUUUUGAAAUUUAAACUUUAUCUCUUCGUCUUCCCUUGGACUCAUUGUCUUCUCCACCACCGGUGGCCCUGCGGGCGGCAGCGCUUGCUGGAGAGCCUCAAUGUCCGCCAGACAAAAGCUCGAUCCAUUUCUUCCUGCCCGAGAAUCCUUCACCCGGAUAUCACCUAGUGACAUAGCCGGGGAGGACCUCGCCGGUGGUAAAGGCCCUCUCCAUGGCUUGCAUCUAUUCAUGCGCCGGUCAGCAACCGUGUCAACAACUCGCCUCGCAAGUAUCCGCGGAUGCUUGACCUGUCCGGGGCCACAAUCGGCUGAUCCAAAGACCGGGGAUAUGAUAUCCGUAGCCAUGGCCUCUGCCCUUCUGACCUCAUCAACUGAGAAACCAGCAAGACACGCAUCUUUAAGAUACUUACCAUCACCGCUCGACUCUGGCAACCCGCCUCCGUCGUCGCCUUCUUCAUCAGAGCUCUCGUCACGUGCAAGUGCCCAGAACUGGGAUCUUCCUCCCGCCCAACUCACCUUCAUCUCCGACUGCGGCUGAAAAGCCGGAGCUGAAUGUCGCUCCAGAGCAACGAAAGCUGCCGCUGAGCUAGUCGAUGGCGACGAAUGCUCCUCACCAGCCACCGCCGGCGUGCUUGGCUGCUCCCCUUCGCCCUCUAACCACUCCAGACUCACGGCUAGGGUGAGCCUCCGCCCAUGGCAUUGGGACCCUCGGUCGCCUUCUCGGCCCAUCCGAGACCAAACCUUAGACUCUGGGUCAUGAGAUUCAGAGAACAAGUAGCCCUCCAAUUGCAUAGGCUUAGGGAGGAUCGCCGAGCUAUUUUUAUUCAAUGGGUAGAGUCAGUGUUGUAACCUAAUCACCUCCUUCCCCCUCCUUUCUCUUUCUCCCCCUCCUUUGUAAGUAUCUCCUGUACUGUUGCCUCCCUUAUUUUUUUAAAAAUCAAGUGCUGUGGGGAACUCCCCCACAGUUUUUGCUAAAAAAAAUUAGUAACAUGUUUUAAUAUGAGGUCUUCGGAACAUUACUUGCAAUGGUUCCCCACGGUGUAGUCUAUGUUUAUUAAUAAUACCUACAGCUUCCCCCAAUUCGACCAGAUCCCCAUGAGUGGGACUCCGCCCAUAACAUAAUUGACAGAUCCAAGAUGUGCUCCGGCAAGUAAAGGGGGUUCUAAUAUAUAUUGGUUGUGCUCGAAACGGUUGUGCUCGAAAGGCGUCUCAUCAACUCCUUCAAAUUUUCUUGAAUUUCAUCAUGGUUAAUAAUUUGUAAACUGAAAAUAUAAUAAUCCCAAAAAUGCUAUCACAGUGAACAACUAUUAUAACUGCUGCGAGACGAAGAUCAUUUCAAGACUUAAUUAUUGUUCGCCACUAUCGAGCAAGGUUGCAUUUUAUAGUCUGCUUACCCUCUUCUAAAUUUUUCACAGAUCCUUUCUUGGUCUAAUUUCACUUAACUUUUUGCUCACCAUAGCAAAUUGCUCAACUACAUCAGCAAGUUGCUCAACUACCCCUCUGCUCCAGCAUCCGAAUCCCUGGCGCUCGCGUCCCACCAGGCCAUCCUGUGGAGGAGUGAAGGAGGCCAUGGUGGCACACGCUCCACGAUGCAGGAACAUCUCGGCAUUGGACGCAACAGUGAGGCCUUAGUCAUGCUCGAGCUGUGGGGAGCAGCAGUUAUCCACCCUGGGCCCCGUACAGAUGGAGGAGGAGGAUGGAGAGGGGGAGGGAAGAGCGGGGCUGAGGAGGGGUCAUGGACGGCGGUAGUGAGACAGCUAGAGCAACAAUGGAGUUCGGGGCCCGACGGAGGAACUCCUAGGCCAGGCUGACGAGGGGGCGCGUAGGUUGGGAUGUGGGAUGCCGCUGCUGCCUAGAAUGGCCAUGCCAUACCUUGCCCAACUGUAACUGGAACACCGGGACGCUGUACAAGUGAUUUUCGGAUAAUCUUGCUAUCCUGAAAAUCUGCCGGCAGGAUAAGCUGUGAGUUUGUCAACCUUAUUUUCGAUGAGCAGAUUAGCUUUACUAAAUGUACAAUGACGUGUAUGCCCUGAAGUCGUUGUUAAAAUCUGAUUUGAGUACACUAAAUUUUGACAUUAUAUGAGCGAUAUUUCAAUGAAGAAAUAAUAUGGCAUUGAUUCGCCUAUCUUAGCAUGCACACACAGAUUGUGCACCACUAAUGCACCGAGCUGAAUCAAGAUUCAGCAAUGAGUCAGUAUCCAUCCCUACUAAUGAUGAAACGCUGCGCUGCCUUAUGCCCAUCAUAUCAACCCUCCUUCUAAUUAAGGUUGCAGAUUGAACAAGCUUCGAUGGAGAUGACUUAAUUGGGUCAGGCAUGUCGACACUAAAACUCAGUCACUUUUGACGACGUUCCAAAUUAAAGGAACAUGGAAACGUACGAAGAAGAAAUUCCAAAUUAACAUGAAUCUUUAUAUUUUCUUUAAGGCAUUUGGGACUGAUACCUCGGAACUCCGUCUGGUCAUAGUUUCAAAUUAGAAGCUUGGGAUGAUAUAGCACAAUUCGAACAGCUGCCAAAGUGAUGCAAAAUAUGAGGGACGCAGCAGGUACACACAUCCGACGUAUCCCAUUUAUUUUAAAUCCUGAAACAUAUACAAGUACAGAACACCACCGGCCCUUCUCUUUCUCCUGACACAAUAAAUUGUACACACAAAUGAGAAAGCAGCAUCCAUGUUUGAACAUUUGGCUGAAGCGUACGGGGCAUCCUGGAAUGACCUAGCUUCAAUAUUUAUGAGAGGAGCUGCAAUAUCAGGAUUUA